rnacentral:lncRNA from 1 species
CUCCUCUCCACCGAGACCUUCACCUUCGCCGACAACGCCCGCGGCAAGCGGACGACGCGCGUGCCCAACGUCAACUUCGGCUGCGGCACGACCUUCGUCGGCUCCUUCAUCGGGGACGGCCUCGUCGGCCUCGGCAACAGCAACCUGUCCCUCGUCACGCAGCUCGGCGCGCACGCCUCGGUCGGCCGGAGGUUCUCCUACUGCCUCGUGCCCUACUCCAUCAACGCCUCCUCCGCUCUCAACUUCGGCGCCCGCGCCGCCGUGACGGAGCCGGGAGCGGCCACGACGCCGCUGGUCCCGUCCAGGGUGAAGACCUACUACACCAUCGACCUCGUGUCCGUCAAGGUCGGCCACGCGACCUACAAGGCGCCGCACCGGUCGUCCCCCGCCAUCGUCGACUCCGGCACAACGCUGACGUUCCUCGACAAGGCGCUGCUAGACCCACUGGUGAAGGAGCUGGCCGGGCGGAUCAAGCUCCCGAAGGCCGCGCCGCGGGCGGACCUCGGCCUGCCGCUGUGCUACAACGUGAGCGGGCUACGGGGRGGGCAGRAUCGGCGGCGAAGACUCCCKUGACGUGAGCGUGGGCUGGGCGGCGGCGCGGCNNNNNNNNNNNNNNNNNNNNNNNNNNNNNNNNNNNNNNNNNNNNNNNNNNNNNNNNNNNNNNNNNNNNNNNNNNNNNNNNNNNNNNNNNNNNNNNNNNNNGGUGAGGAGCGUUCAGGAGGCUGCGCAGGGGACAGACCCCAUGCUCGGCGAGGAGGUGCGCCGCCGGGCCUCGCUCCAAGCCGCGAGGUACUAGCAGGCCUUAUGGCGCUAUCACUGCCGCAACAUCCACUACAGGACCGUUGAAGUCAGUGACCUCGUCCUGAGGCGGGUUCAGUCCAGGGAGGGCUUGCAUAAGCUCUCGCCCAUGUGGGAGUGCCCGUUCAAGGUCGCCCAUGUCUCCGGUAUUAGCGCCGUGCACCUGGGGACUCACGAGGGUGUUCCCAUCUAGAAUGCUUCAAACAUCCAACUUCUCCGGAUGUUCCACCCGCAAUGCCUCUGCCCUGCCUCUGCAUCGUCCUACAAUUCUUUUGGAACCUACUUCAUCUCGUGACACUCUCACAUAAUAAAGAGCUGCGGCUAUAUAUGCCUGGCCGCCCGUCCGGAGGGACCGGGGGACGGGGUCCCCCUCCCGACCGGUCCCUAGGUCGGCCACUCCCCUGCCACGUCCGGCGGUCGGGGAGAACGGACGGAGGCAAGUCCAACUCGACGUCCGACCAAGUCGACUAUCGCCCGACAACGUGGACAAGCAAANNNNNNNNNNNNNNNNNNNNNNNNNNNNNNNNNNNNNNNNNNNNNNNNNNNNNNNNNNNNNNNNNNNNNNNNNNNNNNNNNNNNNNNNNNNNNNNNNNNNAAAAAAUCAGGGGAGCCUCGAAAAAACUUUUCCGCCGCCGCAAGCUUCCAUUUCCGCAAGAUCUCAUCUGGAGACCCUUCCCAGCGCCCUGCCGGAGGGGACUUUGGAGUUGGAGGGCUUCUUCAUCAUCAUCAUCGCCCCUCCAAUGACUCGUGAGUAGUUCACUUCAGACCUACGGGUCCGUAGUUAGUAUCUAGAUGGCUUCUUCUCUCUCUUGGAUCUUCAAUACAAAGUUCUCCAUGAUCUUCAUGGAGAUCUAUCCAAUGUAAUCUUCUUUGGUGGUGUGUUUGUCGAGAUCCGAUGAAUUGUGGAUUUGUGAUCAGAUUAUCUAUGAUAUAUAUUUGAGUCUUUGCUGAUUUCUUAUAUGCAUGAUUUGAUAUCCUUGUAAGUCUCUCCGAGUUCUUGGGKUUUGUUGGCCAACUAGAUCUAUGAUUCUUGCAAUGGGAGAAGUGCUUGGGUUUGGGUUCUGCCAUGUGGUGACCUUUCCAAUGACAGGUAGGGCACGUCAAGGCACGACANNNNNNNNNNNNNNNNNNNNNNNNNNNNNNNNNNNNNNNNNNNNNNNNNNNNNNNNNNNNNNNNNNNNNNNNNNNNNNNNNNNNNNNNNNNNNNNNNNNNAUUUUUUUCAAAAACAACUUCGAUGUUAGAUGAAGCAACCUUAGUGCUAAACAGAAGCAACUUUGAUGCUAGAUGAAUUGCAUUGUGUGUAUACACAUGAGUUGCUUGUUGAAUGCAUUGGAGUUGCGCAAGAACACACUAAAAGUUGCUUAACUUUUUUGUGAUACUCGAAUGCAAUUAUGGCAACUAUUUACAAAAAGCAGGCAACUGGACAUCAAUGGUAGGCAACUGAACAUCAACCGUAGGCAAUUGAUUAUCAAUAAUAGGACAACUAAGCAUCAAAAUUGAACAAUUUCAUAGUAUUUUGUAGGCAACUGAGCAUCAAAAUUAAGCAAUUUCACAAUAUUUGUAGGCAACUUAGCAUCAAUCAUAGGCAACUUAGCAUCAUUGUUUAAUUAUGUAAAGCUUAUAGAGGUGAAUCUAGUCAAAUGUUAGUCACGUACGUAACCUAGUAAGAAAGUACUUCGUCGUACUUAAGUAGUAUUACGUACUAACGUAAACCGGGGGGUAAAAGGGGGGGAAAGGUUAGGUUCGUCGUUCCGUACCUUAAGUACGAACUUAAAAAGNNNNNNNNNNNNNNNNNNNNNNNNNNNNNNNNNNNNNNNNNNNNNNNNNNNNNNNNNNNNNNNNNNNNNNNNNNNNNNNNNNNNNNNNNNNNNNNNNNNNGUUCUCGUAUGUAAGUUUUAGUUUAUUAUGUUAAGAUAGUCUUUGUACUUUCGGUUGAACUUUUAUUAACUAAGUUACUUAUUAACAAGAAUACUGUAUACCUUUUUAGUAACUAAAAAAAAGAAAAAUAAAAAAGUUUUACUAUAGUUUUCUUAAUUAAAAUUAAGUAGAAAAUACAUGAACUGCUUCAAUAACUAGUACUCUUACUGUAAACAAAUAUAAGAUGUUUUAGGUUCAGUAUAAAGACCUCAUUUGUUUCCAUGGAGUCCUGAAAUAGCAGCAGAACCCAACAUCACCACUUUCCUGUACCUCCCAGUGAAAGCAGCAACCAAUUACCAUACAAGUCAUUUAAGCAUGAAGGCUUACAGUCAAUGUCAAUAUCCCUAGAGAGGCACUUGUAAUAUCCCAAAGCAUAUCUUGCGAGAGGGCAUAGGAAGAGCAGCUGUUCUAGAGCUUCAUGCUCAUCACAAAACUCACNCUUAAAACGUUACCGUAAACCGUUUACCGUAACGUUUACCCGUAACGUUACCCGUUACCGUUUACGGGUACCCGUAACGGUAAACGUUACGGUACCGUAAACGUUUUACCGGGUACCGUUAACCGGUAACCCGUAAACGUACGUACGGUAAACCGUUAACGGGGUAACGUUACGGUAACGUACGGUAACGUUUACCGUACGGUACNNNNNNNNNNNNNNNNNNNNNNNNNNNNNNNNNNNNNNNNNNNNNNNNNNNNNNNNNNNNNNNNNNNNNNNNNNNNNNNNNNNNNNNNNNNNNNNNNNNNACGCCACGUAUGUGAGUUUAGUAUAGUUUCAGUGGUAAGCAUCCCUAUGCUAAUCAUAUCAACUAUAUGAUUCAUGAUCGACCUUUCGGUCUCAUGNGUUUCGAGGCCAUGUCUGCACAUGCUAGGCUCGUCAAGCUUAACCCGAGUGUUCCGCGUGUGCAACUGUUUUGCACCCAUUGUAUGUGAACGUGGAGUCUAUCACACCCGAUCAUCGCGUGGUGUCUCGAAACGACGAACUGUAGCAACGGUGCACAGUCGGGGAGAACACAAUUUCGUCUUGAAAUUUUAGUGAGAGAUCACCUCAUAAUGCUACCGUUGUUUUAAGCAAAAUAAGGUGCAAUAAAAGGAUUAACAUCACAUGCAAUUCAUAAGUGACAUGAUAUAGCCAUCAUCAUGUGCUUCUUGAUCUCCAUCACCAAAGCACCGGCAGUGAUUCCUUUCUUUGUCAGUCCGGCCSCACACCAUGAUCUCCAUCAACGUGUCGCCAGUCGGGGUUNUCGUGCUACUCAUGCUAUUACUAACUAAGCUACAUCCUAGACUAAUAUAAGUAAACGCUAUAUCGACAAGUACCAAACGUUAAACGUUUAAGGUUAAACACCCUAACCUUAGUUCGCCUUCCGUCGGUCCGGUUNNNNNNNNNNNNNNNNNNNNNNNNNNNNNNNNNNNNNNNNNNNNNNNNNNNNNNNNNNNNNNNNNNNNNNNNNNNNNNNNNNNNNNNNNNNNNNNNNNNNCCAAGUUCCCGAGCUCGCCGCCAUGGCGUUCGCCCCUGGCCUCCCGAGCCGUUCCCCACCGGCUGCUCUGUUCCGAGGCGCCGCGCUACUGUUCCUCGCCGUCCCCGUGCGCGCCUCCAGUGCCCUGCCCGGCCUCCUCCUGCCGAGGUUGCUGUUGCCUGCCUUGGCGUUGCUCGCCUUGCCAUGUGCUGUUUUGCUGCUAUUGCAUGCUGUUGCUGUUGCCUUUGCUCGUAGCUGCCUGCUGUGGCUGUCGCCGUAGCCACCGCCGAGUUGCUGCUAUAGUUGCCAAUGUUGUCGCUAUGCACGCGGCUGUAGCAUGCCUGAGGAUGCUGCCUGCCGAGUGCUCGUCCUGUUGCUCGCCGUAUUCGCUUGCCUGCUAUCGUCUUAGUUUAGGUUGUUAGUUACGUCGUUUGGUUCGGUUUCGUCCGUUUGGUUCGUCCGUUUCGUUCGGUCCGUUCGGUCCGUUCGGUCCCCGGUUAGUUCGGUUCCGUUUGGUUUCGGUNNNNNNNNNNNNNNNNNNNNNNNNNNNNNNNNNNNNNNNNNNNNNNNNNNNNNNNNNNNNNNNNNNNNNNNNNNNNNNNNNNNNNNNNNNNNNNNNNNNNAGUCACUUACACAUGCAUUAGUUGAGUUGUUUAUAUUCUGGACAGAAUCUCAUGUUAAUUUAUCUUGACAUGCAUGAACAUGGCAUAAUCAUACUCAUCACGAGAAAACGAUGACAAAAACAUUUGAAGAACAUCGUCAAUAGAGUAUCGGAUCAACCGGAAACUAUAAAACAAGUUACGAAGGCCUACGUGUUCAAAACAUCCACAAACACAAUUAUAUGGGCACUCAAAACCAUCAACCAUAGCUCACACAAAACCAUCAACCAUAGCUCACACAAGCACCAAAUGCACAAGCACCAAAAUACAAGUGACAUGGUGUUGGAUAACACACAAAACCAUCAACCAUAGCUCACACAAGCUCAAAAGCCAAUUUGACACCAAUCUGUUUACAACAGCAACAUAGCUACUUUGAUCACAAGAUGUAUAGCAGCUACAACCCUACUAAAUAAUWCAAACAAGACAAUUAAACUAGAAACCAUCCAACUUCAUUACCAACCUAUAACGAAGUAGACGAAAGCRAMGGGCCACAACAUACGAAUAGUAUUUANNNNNNNNNNNNNNNNNNNNNNNNNNNNNNNNNNNNNNNNNNNNNNNNNNNNNNNNNNNNNNNNNNNNNNNNNNNNNNNNNNNNNNNNNNNNNNNNNNNNAGGCUUGUGUGUGAUGUUGUAUUACCGAGUGGGCCCCGAGAUACCUCUCCGUCACACGGAGUGACAAAUCCCAGUCUUGAUCCAUACUAACUCAACGAACACCUUCGGAGAUACAUGUAGAGCACCUUUAUAGUCACCCAGUUACGUUGUGACAUUUGGUACACACAAGGCAUUCCUUUGGUGCCAGUGAGUUAUAUGAUCUCAUGGUCAUAGGAAUAAAUACUUGACACGCAGAAAAACUAGUAGCAACAAAAUGACAUGAUCAACAUGCUACAUUCAUUAGUUUGGGUCUAGUCCAUCACAUGAUUCUCCUAAUGAUGUGAUCCCAUUAUCAAGUAACGACACUUGCCUAUGGUCACGAAACCUUGACCAUCUUUGAUCAAUGAGCUAGUCAACUAGAGGCUUACUAGGGACAGUGUUUUGUCUAUGUAUCCACACAAGUAUUGUGUUUCCAAUCAAUACAAUUAUAGCAUGGAUAAUAAAUGAUUAUCAUGAACAAAGAAAUAUAAUAAUAACUAAUUUAUUAUUGCUUGUAGGGCAUAUUUCCAACAGUCUCCCACUUGCACUAGAGUCAAUAAUCUAGUUCACAUCACCAUGUGAUUCUAACGAAUCCAACACCCAUAUAGUUCUGGGGUCUGAUCACGUCUUGCUUGUGAGAGAGGUUUUAGUCAAUGGUUCUAAAACUUUCAGAUCCGUGUGUUCUUUACAAAUCUUUAUGUCAUCUUAUAGAUGCUGCUACUACGUGCUAUUCGGAAAUACUCCAAAUAUCUACUCUACUAUACGAAUCCGUUUCACUACUCAUAGUUAUUCGGAUCAGUGUCAAAGCUUGCAUCAACGUAACCCUUACGACGAACUCUUUAACCACCUCCAUAAUCGAGAAAAAUUCCUUAGUCCAUAAGUACUAAGGAUAACUUGACCGUUGUUCAGUGAUUCAAUCCUGGAUCACUCUCUGUACCUCUUAACACGACUUGUGGCAAGGCACACAGGGGAUAGGNNNNNNNNNNNNNNNNNNNNNNNNNNNNNNNNNNNNNNNNNNNNNNNNNNNNNNNNNNNNNNNNNNNNNNNNNNNNNNNNNNNNNNNNNNNNNNNNNNNNCUUUUCGGGUUAGUUCUUUUAACUUUUAGUUUACCUUCUUUUCGGUAGUUUUUUCCUUUACUACCUUAAAGGGUACGUAACAACUACUAUAGUUUUACUAAGAAUAAAAGAAGAAUACUCUACACUUUAUAAGAAGUAACUCAACAUAAAGAACACAUGAAACUAAUCAUGAUGUAUGCAAAUGUAUGCCUGUGCCAGUGUAGCAGGAUAUGCAAUGAAACUAGCGCGUCAUGUAGCGAUAAUAAGGGCAAGGCCCAACUAGCAUGCGGCUCCUCGGUCAAGGAAAAGCAUGUAUGUCAUGAAGAUCAAGUCAUGAGAUGGUGGAUGUUGCAUGGCAAUGUAUCUCGGAAAGGCUAUGGAAAUGCCUUAAUAGGUAGGUAUGGUGGCUGUUUUGAGGAAGGAUAUAAUGAGGCUUAUGAUGACAGAGCGUAUCAUGCCAAGGGUUUGGAUGCACCGGCGAAGUUUGCACCAACUCUCAAGAUGGAAGGAAGGACUAGUCGACGGUACCGGUAACGAAGGCGUACGUACGAACUAAANNNNNNNNNNNNNNNNNNNNNNNNNNNNNNNNNNNNNNNNNNNNNNNNNNNNNNNNNNNNNNNNNNNNNNNNNNNNNNNNNNNNNNNNNNNNNNNNNNNNUUGUUCUUUGGUAUGUACUUGCCCUAGAUUCGAUCGUCAGUAUCCGCAUACUUAUUUCAAUCUCGUUUACCGGUCAAGUCUCUUUACUCGUUCCGUAAUACAACGAUCCGCAACUUACACUAAGUCACAUUGCUUGCAAGGCUUGUGUAUGAUGUUCGUAUUACCGACGUGGGCCCCGAGAUACCUCUCCGUCACACGGAGUGACAAAUCCCAGUCUUGAUCCAUACUAACUCAACUAACACCUUCGGAGAUACCUGUAGAGCAUCUUUAUAGUCACCCAGUUACGUUGCGACGUUUUGAUACACNCAAAGCAUUCCUCCGGUGUCAGUGUGUUAUAUGAUCUCAUGGUCAUAGGAAUAAAUACUUGACACGCAGAAAACAGUAGCAACAAAAUGACACGAUCAACAUGCUAYGUCUAUUAGUUUGGGUCUAGUCCAUCACAUGAUUCUCCUAAUGAUGUGAUCCCGUUAUCAAGUGACAACACUUGCCUAUGGUCAGGAAACCUUGACCAUCUUUGAUCAACGAGCUAGUCAACUAGAGGCUUACUAGGGACAGUGUUUUGUCUAUGUAUCCACACAUGCACUAUGUUUCCAAUCAAUACAAUUAUAGCAUGGAUAAUAAACGAUUAUCAUGAACUAAGAAAUAUAAUAAUAACUAAUUUAUUAUUGCCUCUAGGGCAUAAUUUCCGAUAAGUCUCCCACUUGCACUAGAGUCAAUAAAUCUAGCUCACAUCACCAUGUGAUUCCAACGAAUCCAACACCCAUAUAGUUAUGGGGUCUAGAUCACGUAUUGCUCGUGAGACAGAUUUUAGCAACGGUUCUGAAACUUUCAGAUCCGUGCAUUCUUUACAAAUUCUUUAUGUCAUCUUACWGAUGCUUGCUACUAUGUNCUAGUCGAAAUCUACCAAAUNUCCUACUCUACUAUACGNNNNNNNNNNNNNNNNNNNNNNNNNNNNNNNNNNNNNNNNNNNNNNNNNNNNNNNNNNNNNNNNNNNNNNNNNNNNNNNNNNNNNNNNNNNNNNNNNNNNAUAGUCAUCCUACAUGUCACGAUCCUGUCUCGAGAAUGACCAUCUCACUCUCAUCACUAGUAAUGCAGGCUCUUUGCUAGCACAGAGAAAACACACACACAAAACCUUCUUCUGGCUCACCACUUCUUUCUCAGGUGGUCACCAUCUCAACCCAUCCACCCUCGGGCAUCAGUGGCACCCGACGUGGUUUUCGAAAAGUCUUUUGAAAUAACCUCCGUGGUACCAUCACCAUGCAUAUGCUCAUCCUACGCAUCGCACUACUAAUAAACCUAUUGKCUUUUUAUCUGCGUCGACCCUCAUAGAUGGUAGGGUCAUGCUAAAAUGCAAGUGCUAUCGAGGAACCGUCGGAAACACCAUAUCGAGGAUUUUACUGAUUCCAUCUUGAUCAUCUACAUUGGAAUGAAUAAUGAACAUGGAAUGCAUGAAAUAUUUUCUCACACAUGGUCAAAGGGCAGCUUCCCUUGGUCAGCAAAGUCUCCUAGGUCUUCGACGUUUUCGGGUCCAACUCCUUCGUCAAUCACGUGAUCUAUCAUCGUGAUAAUAAUNNNNNNNNNNNNNNNNNNNNNNNNNNNNNNNNNNNNNNNNNNNNNNNNNNNNNNNNNNNNNNNNNNNNNNNNNNNNNNNNNNNNNNNNNNNNNNNNNNNNACUUUUUGAGCAAGAAUAUUUUUUUGAAAUUAAAAUGAAAACUUAAACUACAAGAAUUUUUUGAAAUUCAAAAGAUUUAUUUGAAAGAAGACAUUUGAAAAAAGGGAAAAACAAAGAAUACUGAUAAAAGAAACAACAGAAAGAAAUCAAAAGAGAUGAAAACUAAUUGAAGUAGGCUAAAAAAAUCCAGGUCAUGUAGCAUGUUCUAUUCGUUGAAUGGGCCGGCCUAUCUCAUUCGCUACUUGACCUAUGUUUAAAUUUCUGCAACAUGCACUACAAGAAAAAAAUUAAUAAGCUGAGUGCCCGAAACACUAGACUUAUAACAGUUUACAUUGGGUUUAUAUAUAAGCCGAGUGUUUUCCCUGAUUUAUACCAUACAACUUACUAAGGACCGGCUUAUCAGGUGUAAGCUGAGAGUCACAACGAAAACACACAAUUUAUAUAUAAGCCAAGUGUUAACAGACACACGAUUUAUACAUGACGGCAUCCUGAUAGUAACGUCAAGCCAUAUGUUCGUUUAUAUAAGUUGAGUCACUUGCGCCUAUGCGAAGGGGCGAGUAUUUUCCACGGAAUGCACCAAAUAGGAAUUGUCUAGAUAGGAGUAUGGGCUGCCGAAAUAGCAGCCCAUAAGUGGGCAUAAUAAAAGCACAGGACCACAACUCUCGUUAUAGCUAGACUUUAAAACUUCUCAUUAUUAUACUACCAUAGAGGAAUAACUCAGAGUAACAUAAGGUUAACUACAAUUAAAUUUGUUUAUGUGUACUAAUUAUUAAUAAGAAAAUAUAAAUUAAUAAUAUANNNNNNNNNNNNNNNNNNNNNNNNNNNNNNNNNNNNNNNNNNNNNNNNNNNNNNNNNNNNNNNNNNNNNNNNNNNNNNNNNNNNNNNNNNNNNNNNNNNNAUACAAAAGGUAAAAAGGAAAAAUUGUAAAAAUCAAAAGGACUGUGAAUUCAAAAUUGUUCAUGGAUUUUGAAAAAAAGUUACAACAAACUGAAAAAAGUUCAUGAGUUUGCAAAAAGUUCGUUGAUUUUGUAAAAAAAGUACAUCAUUGUUUUAGAGUACACUGGUUUUGAAAAAAUAGUUCAUCGAUUUUGAAGAAAAUGUUUAUGAUUUUUAAAAAAUACGUGGGUUUUUGGGAAAGUUGCUUAAGUUGGUCAAAAAAUCAUGAAUGUUGAUAUUUGUUUCUAUAAAGUUGGUCAAAAUUUACGGAGUUUGACUUCAGACAAAUCUUAUAUGGAGAGUACAAAGGACCGGAGGGAGUACAUGCACAUUAUUGCUCCUAUGUUUUCUCUUAUUGUUUUUUGUGAGGAUCUUAUGUUUUCUCUUCUCCAACGAAGUUAUGCCCAACCGUUAUUGAGUCUUGGCGGGUGUAUGUGGUUCUCUUUGUGUCCUUAACUAAAUUGCCUAUUAUUCUUUUCAUCUUAAAUUUAUUGCUGUUUUGCUGUAGAAUUCAAUACUACUUUCUCAAUGUACAAUAUAUUAGGNNNNNNNNNNNNNNNNNNNNNNNNNNNNNNNNNNNNNNNNNNNNNNNNNNNNNNNNNNNNNNNNNNNNNNNNNNNNNNNNNNNNNNNNNNNNNNNNNNNNUGAUGAAUAUGAUAUUUGUCGACAAUAAUUGAAAGUGGGAUUGGAGAAGUCAUGACUUUAUUUGUAUGACAAUUACCACUAUUUUUGUAAGAGCGUCAACUUUGUCAUGCAUGUGGAUCAUGAAAAUAAUAUCCUAUGGGAUAGCUAUAUUGUUGAAUUUGAAAAUGAUCCCACGUGUAAUUGCUAUGAGAGAGGAAAAUAUUUUGGUAGAAACUUUUAUGUUACCAAAUCACCUCUCGUGAUGUUGAGAUUGCUCUUGUCUCUUUCUUCUUCCUUGCAUAUGGCAGCUAUUGGUUGUCUUGACAAUUUGUUUUCCUAUAAAAUGCCUAUGCAUAGGAAGUAUGUUAGACUUAGAUGUGAUUUUCACAUGCUUUAGGAUUCUCUCGUUGUGCUUCAAUUCUUGUCUUUUGUGAGAGCAUCAUUCAAUGCCUAACUAAGGGCGUUAAACAAAAAGCGCUUGUUGGGAGGCAACCCAACGAAUCUAUCAUUUUUCUUUCUGUUUUGUGUUUUUCACACUUUCAUAAUUCUGUUAUGAUUGUGUUUUUGUGUUUCUUUUUGCGUUUGUGCCAAGAAAAACCGUUACGAUUAGUCUUGGGGAUGAUCGUUUGGUCAUGCUGGAAAAGACAGAAACUUUCUACUCACGAAAAGAAUUUUCAUUUUUUUUCUGUAAGAGCUUUUGAGUUGAUUAUUUUUGCUUCUAAUUGCUACGUAAAUUCUUGAGACUGUCAUAAUUUUUCAGAAGUUUUGAAGUACCAGAGGUAUACGAAAUAUACAGAUCUCUACAGACUGGUCUGCUGUUAACAGAUUCUGUUUUUUGUUGUGUUGGUUGCUUAUUUUGAUGAAACUAUGGAUAGUAUCGGGGAUAUUAGCCAUGGAAGAUUGAAAGUACAGUAACCCAACAUCAGCAUAAGUAGAAUUUAAGUUUGCUACAGUACCUAAGGAAGUGGUGGUUUGCUUUCUUGUACUAAUGUUACCACGAGUUUCUGUUUAAGUUUCGUGUUGUUGAAGUUUUCAGUUUUGGGUGUAAGUUCUUAUNNNNNNNNNNNNNNNNNNNNNNNNNNNNNNNNNNNNNNNNNNNNNNNNNNNNNNNNNNNNNNNNNNNNNNNNNNNNNNNNNNNNNNNNNNNNNNNNNNNNACGUCCACGUUCCAUUUAAGUAUGGUGAGUAUGGUGGUUGCUGGCUAUAUGUUGUUGUCAUGUCAUCUAUAACCAAGCAUAUAGCUGACAAGUAGAAGAGUGAUAUAUAAAUAUGUACUAUUAUAUUGAUCUAUGGCACACCUCACUCUCUCACAUUGUCUCUUGGAGCAUGUGUUGCAAUUGGUUAUUAAUCUAUAGCUUGUUUCUCUUCUUCCUCCUCCAACUCAGCCAAAAAAUAAUAUUUAAUGUCUUACAACCUACCUACAUCAUCUUAUUGUAUUUCCUCUAAUAAUAGACAUACGCUUGAACAAACUUCCAACUAUUGCUUAUCUACAUCUCUAAUUAAGUGGUUGACUAAUUAAUUAAUUGCACUAAUGGCUUGAUUUCAUAAUUGAUUUGGCACACAAAAAUCCCUAUUUAAAUGGAUAUAAUUAAUUACAGCCGUAAUUAAUUGUUUGAUUAAUUAAUUAUAUUAAUGGCUUGAUUUUCAAAUUGAUUUGAUGCUUGGGUUUCAAAUUGUUUUUCCAUUAAUGACUAGAUACCAAUGAAACGGCACACAUACUCCUCUAUUGUUUUUUCUUUUGCUUUUGCAUUAGGGAAAUGUAGUGUUUUUUGUGCGUGUGAGAAUGUGGGAGUUGAUGCUAUUUUUUCGGUAGGGGGAUCGAAAGGGAGGGAUGUUGGAUGUACCACAUACAAUCCCAACUCCCUUUUAAUAUUAGAGAUAUGGUUAGGAAAAUUUUCUUACUACUUCCUCCAUUCCUUUAUGUAAGGUGUAUAAUUUUUGACACGGUGAUCAAGGCACAUAAGUAUAGAGUGUAGAAAAUNCGUGCGAUUAUGAUAGUGGCAGUAAUCAAUGAGUCUAGGAAAUAAAAGAUACACGCAAUCGAGAGAAAGAUUGGCUUUCUUUUUAACACAAGUGGCGUNNNNNNNNNNNNNNNNNNNNNNNNNNNNNNNNNNNNNNNNNNNNNNNNNNNNNNNNNNNNNNNNNNNNNNNNNNNNNNNNNNNNNNNNNNNNNNNNNNNNAUUAUUAUACUACCCAUAGAGGAAAUAACUUCAGGAGUAACAUAAGGUUUAACUCAAUAAAUUUGUUUAUGUGACAAUUAUUUAAUAAGGAAAAUAUAAAUUAAAUAAUAUGACUAGUUAUUCACACUAUGAGUAACAUCACACGUGUGAAGACAAAGUGAGUCUAUAAUAUAAAAUUUAAUGAAUGAAGUGUUACAUGACACCACAUAUGUUACUCUAUACAUAUGUUUCAUCGACAAAAAAAAAAAGAAUAACAUAUGCAUGUUAAUGGUCGAAGUUAUUCCACACUGACCAGUCUUAACGGUUCGUCCUCCAGAAAAUGAAGUUUAGUUUGCAAGCAUAGCAAAUCCUUGCAAAAACUGAGCUGAAAUGGAUUCAUCAAUUUUACAAGCUAAACUUGUCACCCUGGGCCAACAUAUGCUAUCAURCRWRSCGUUCCCAAUUACCAUGCUUCGCCGCUGCCCUCCUUCACUGGUUAAGCCGCUGCAUUAUUCUUAUACUCCCUUCGUUCCUAAAUAUAAAUCUUUUAAACGAUUUUACUAAGGGUCUACAUACGAAANNNNNNNNNNNNNNNNNNNNNNNNNNNNNNNNNNNNNNNNNNNNNNNNNNNNNNNNNNNNNNNNNNNNNNNNNNNNNNNNNNNNNNNNNNNNNNNNNNNNUAUUUUUCUAUUUCCUUUUCUAACACAAUGUCAAUUUUUUCUACACACAAUGACCUUUUAAUAUACAUAAAGAGCAUUUUUUAAACAUUUUUAAAAUACACGAUCUAUAAUUUUACAAAUAUAUUCAUUUCUUGUAUACAACAAUAACAUUUUUCAUACAUGAUUAUUAAAUUUUACAUACGUGAUUAACAUUUUUUUUAAUAUAUUUUUUCUAAGUAUUUUUUUAUGUAGGUUCUAAAUUUUGUGUAUACAUAUGAAACAUUAAUUGUAUACAUGUUUCACAUUUUUCAACUACAUGACAAACCUUUUUUCAGAAUGUAUAUUUUUGUUGUCUACAUUUGACACAUACAUUGUACUAUUUUCUUCAUAUACAUGAGUAACAUGAUUUAAACAUGUUUAAUUAAUUUUUUACAAAUAAUAGUUUCGUUGUUUUAUUUUYUCAUACACAAUGUACUAUUUUUAUAUACAUAAUAAAACUWUUAUUUAAUAUUCUAUUUAACAUAUUCCANNNNNNNNNNNNNNNNNNNNNNNNNNNNNNNNNNNNNNNNNNNNNNNNNNNNNNNNNNNNNNNNNNNNNNNNNNNNNNNNNNNNNNNNNNNNNNNNNNNNACCUUUCUCUUUCAUAGAUCUUCUUUCUUAUUGCAUAUCUUCACCACGGAGGAAUAGAAUACCUCUCUUCUUUUGAAUAGGUUCCGGAGGUGGUUCAGGGAGUGUCCAAUCAUCGACAUUUKKCAAUAUGUUAUUCAAUAAUUCUUCAUCUUGUCCGAAAGUUCUUUACCUUGAAAACACAACCAGCACAACUAUCUAGGAAAUCCCUAGAGGCAUCGGUUAUACCAUUAUAAAACAUAUCUAAGAAUUUCAUUUUYYUAAGAGAAUGAUCAGUCAAAGCUCUAAGUAACUGGAUAAGCCUCCCCCAAGCUUGAGGGAGAUUCUCUUCUUCAAUUUGCACAAAAUUAAAUAUUUCCUGUAAGGCAGGUUGUUUCUUAUGAGCAGGAAAAUAUUUUGCAGAAAAAUAAUAAAAGCAUAUCAUGGGGACUACGCAUACAACCAGGAGCCGGACAAAGGAACCAUUCCCUGACCUCGCCUUUUAGMKACGWRRSGWAAAAAGCUUAAGGAUAUAANNNNNNNNNNNNNNNNNNNNNNNNNNNNNNNNNNNNNNNNNNNNNNNNNNNNNNNNNNNNNNNNNNNNNNNNNNNNNNNNNNNNNNNNNNNNNNNNNNNNUAGGGCGAAUUCUUCUUGCUACUUCUCUUGUUUUGCGUCGGGUUUUCCCUUGAAGAUGACAGGGUGAUGCAGCACAGGAGCAGUAAGUAUUUCCCUCAGUUUGAGAACCAAGGUAUUGAUCCAGAAGGAGGGUCUCGUCAAGUCCAGAGUACCUGUGCAAACACAAACAAGCUUGCACCCAACGCUUCAAAGAGGUUGUCAAUCCCUUCAAGAUUGUUUGCAAAGUGAGAUCUGAAGGCGGAAAGUGCAACGAAGUAAAAAAGUGUAAGGCUGAAAAUAUGGUGUGGAGUAGUCCCGGGGGCCAUAGUGUUCACUAGAGGCUUCUCUCAAAAUAGCAAAUAUCACGGUGGGUGAACAAAUUACUGUCGAGCAAUUGAUAGAACCGCGCAAAGUCAUGACGAUAUCUAAGGCAAUGAUCAUACAUAUAGGCAUCACGUCCGAGACAAGUAGACCGAUACUUUCUGCAUCUACUACUAUUACUCCACACAUCGACCGCUAUCCAACAUGCAUCUAGUGUAUUGAGUUCAUGACGAACAGAGUAACGCCUUAAGCAAGAUGACAUGAUGUAGAGGGAUAUUCUCAAACCAAUGAUGAAAACCCCAUCUUUCUACCCUUGAUGGCAACAACAUGAUGCGUGCCUCGCUACCCCUUCUGUCACUGGGUGAGGUCACCGCAUGGUAUGAACCCAAAACCAAGCACUUCUCCCAUUGCAAGAAUCAUAGAUCUAGUUGGCCAAACAAAACCCACAACUCGAAGAGAAUUACAAGGAUAUGAAAUCAUGCAUAAGAGAGAUCAGAAGAAAUUCGUAUGUAACCUGAUCAUAAAUCCACAAUUCAUCGGAUCUCGACAAAUACACCGCAAAAGAAGAUUACAUCGGAUAGAUCUCCAUGAAGAUCAUGGAGAACUUUGUAUUGAAGAUCCAAGAGAGAGAAGAAGCCAUCUAGUUACUAGCUAUGGACCCGUAGGUCUAUGGUGAACUACUUACGCAUCAUCGGAGAGGUCAUGGUGUUGAUGAAUAAGCCCUCCGUGUACGAAUCCCUCCUCCGGCAGGGCACCAGAACGUGCCCCAGAUGGGAUCUUGCGAAGACAGAAGCUUGCGGCGACGGAAAAGUACUUUCAAUGAUCUCCUGAUUUUUUUGGGAUUUUUAGGGAAUAUAUAGGCGCAACCCCUAGAGCAGAGGGCGCCCAUGUUGGAAAUAUGCCCAAGAGGCAAUAAUAAAUUAGUUAUUAUUAUAUUUGUUUGUUCAUGAUAAUUGUUUAUUAUCCAUGCUAUAAUUGUAUUGAUUGGAAACACAAUACUUGUGUGGAUACAUAGGCAAAACACUGUCCCUAGUAAGCCUCUAGUUGACUAGCUCGUUGAUCAAAGAUGGUCAAGGUUUCCUGACCAUAGGCAAGUGUUGUUACUUGAUAACGGGAUCACGUCAUUAGGAGAAUCAUGUGAUGGACUAGACCCAAACUAAUGAACGUAGCAUGUUGAUCGUGUCAUUUUGUUGCUACUGUUUUUCUGCAUGUCAAGUAUUUAUUCCUAUGACCAUGAGAUCAUAUAACUCACUGGCACCGGAGGAAUGCCUUGUGUGUACCAAACGUCACAACGUAAUUGGGUGACAAUAAAGGUGCUCUACAGGUAUCUCCGAAGGUGUUUGUUGAGUUAGUAUGGAGCAAGACUGGGAUUUGUCACUCCGUGUGACAGAGAGGUAUCUUGGGGCCCACUCGGUAAUACAACAUCACGCACAAGCCUUGCAAGCAAUGUGACUUAGUGUAAGUCAUGGGAUCUUGUAUUACGGAAUGAGUAAAGAGACUUGCCAGUAAACGAGAUUGAAAUAGGUAUGCGGAUACUGACGAUCGAAUCUCGGGCAAGUAACAUACCGAAGGACAAAGGGAAUGACAUACGGGAUUAUAUGAAUCCUUGGCACCGAGGUUCAAACGAUAAGAUGUUCGUAGAAUAUGUAGGAUCCAAUAUGGGCAUCCAGGUCCCGCUAUUGGAUAUUGACCGAGGAGUCCCUCGGGUCAUGUCUACAUAGUUCUCGAACCCGCAGGGUCUGCACACUUAAGGUUCGGCGUUGUUUUAUGCGUAUUUGAGUUAUAUGGUUGGUUACCGAAUAUUGUUCGGAGUCUCGGAUGAGAUCACGGACGUCACGAGGGUUUCCGGAAUAGUCCGGAGACGAAGAUUGAUAUAUAGGAUGACCUCAUUUGAUUACCGUAAAGUUUUCGGCAUUACCGGGAAUGUACCGGGAGUGACGAAUGGUUUCCGGAUGUUCACCGGGGGGGCAGCCCACCCCGGGGAAGCUCAUAGGACUUAGGGGUGCCGCACCAGCCCUUAGUGGCUUGGUGGGAAAGCCCAAGAAGGCCCCUGCGCAGGAGAGAAAGAAAAUCAAAGAGAAAAAGGGGGGAGUGGGAAAAUAGAGAAGGACUCCACCUUCCAAUCCUAGUUGGACUAGGAUUGGAGGAGGGAUCCUCCUCCCCCCACUUCGGUCGACCCCUUGGGGAUCCUUGACCCUCAAGGCAAGGUCCCUCCCCUCCCUCCUAUAUAUACUGAGGUAUUAGGGCUGAUUUGAGACAACUUUUGCCACGACAGCCCGACCACAUACCUCCAUGGUUUUUCCUCUAGGUCGCGUUUCUGCGGAGCUCGAGCGGAGCCCUGCUGAGAUAAUAUCACCACCAACCUCCGGAGCGCCGUCACGCUGCCGGAGAACUCAUCUAACUCUUCGUCUCUCUUGCUGGAUCAAGAAGGCCGAGAUCAUCGUCGAGCUGUACGUGUGCUGAACGCGGAGGUGCCGUCCGUUCGGCACUAGAUCGGAGCGGAUCGUGGGACGGUUCGUGGGAUGGUUCGCGGGGCGGAUCGAGGGACGUGAGGACAUUCCACUACAUCAACCGCGUUUCUUAAACGCUUCUGCUUUGCGAUCUACAAGGAUACGUAGAUCGGAAAUCUCCUCUCGUAGAUGAACAUCACCAUGAUAGGUAUUGCGUAUGCGUAGGAAAUUUUUUGUUUCCCAUGUGACGUUCCCCAUCAGUGGCAUCAUGAACUAGGUUGAUGCGUAGAUGUUAUGUCGAGUAGAACACAAAAGUUUUUGUGGGUGGUGAUGUGCGAUUUGCUGCCCUCCUUAGUCUUUUCUUGAUUCCGCGGUAUAGUUGGAUCGAAGCGGCUCGGACCGACAUUACUCGUACGUUUACGAGAGACUGGUUUCAUCGCUACGAGCAACCCCGUUGCUCAAAGAUGACUGGAGAGUGUCGGUUUCUCCAACUUUAGUUGAAUCGGAUUUGACCGAGGAGGUCCUUGGAGAGAGGUUAAAUAGCAAUUCAUACAUCUCCGUUGUGGUGUUUGCGUAAGUAAGAUGCGAUCCUACUAGAUACCCAUGGCAACCACGUAAAACAUGCAACAACAAUUAGAGGACGUCUAACUUGUUUUUGCAGGGUAUGCUUGUGAUGUGAUAUGGCCAACGACGUGAUGUGAUAUAUUGGAUGUAUGUGAUGAUCAUGUUGUAAUAGUUAAUAUCGACUUGCACGUUGAUGGUACGGCAACCAGCAGGAGCCAUAGGGUUGUCUUUAAACUAACGUUUGUGCUUGCAGAUGAUACGUCCAUAUUGCAUCAUGCUUUCAUGUUGAUAUUUAUUGUUUUAUGGGCUGUUAUAUUACUUUGUGGUACCAUAUUUAUGCCUUUUCUCUCUUAUUUUGCAAGGUUUAUUUGAAGAGGGAGAAUUCAGGCAGCUGGAAUUCUGGACUGGAAAAGGAGCAAAUCUUAGUCCACUAUUCUACACAUCUCCAAAUGCCGUGAAAAGUUACGUGGAUUUUUUUGGGAUUAUAUAAAAAAAUACUGGGUGAAAGAAGUACCAGAGGGGGGCUGCCAGGGCGCCCAAGCCCUGCCACCGCCACCCCCCUGGUGGCGGAGGGCAAGCUUGUGGGCUCCCUGACGGCCCACUAUCCCCCCUCUUUUGCUAUAUGAAGGGUUUCGUUCCAGAAAAAAAUCAAUCGGGAGCUUUUUCGUGGUUUCGCCGCCGCCACGAGGCGGAACUUGAGCAGAUUCAAUCUAGAGCUCCGACAGGACGAUCCUGCCGGGGAAACUUCCCUCUCGGAGGGGGAAAUCGUCGCCAUCGUCAUCACCAACACUCCUCUCGUCGGAGGGGAGGCAUCUUCAUCAACAUCUUCAUCAGCACCAUCUCCUCUCCAAUCCCUAGUUCAUCUCUUGUAAUCAAUCUCCGUCUCAGGACUCCGAUUGGUACUUGUAAGGUUGCUAGUAGUGUUGAUUACUCUUUGUAGUUGAUGCUAGUUGGAUUACUUGGUGGAAGAGUUUAUGUUCAGAUCCUUGAUGCUAUUCAUUACACCACUGAUCAUGAUUAUGAUUAUGCUUUGUGAGUAGUUACUUUUGUUCCUGAGGACAUGGGAUAAGUCAUGCUGAUAAUAGUCAUGUGAAUUUGAUAUUCGUUCGGUAUUUUGAUAUGUUGUAUGUUGUCUUUUCUUCUAGUGGUGUUAUGUGAACGUCGACUACAUAACACUUCACCAUAUUUGGGCCUAGAGGAAGGCAUUGGGGAGUAGUAAGUAGAUGAUGGGUUGCUGGAGUGAGAGAAGCUUAAACCCCAGUCAAUGUGUUGCUUCGUAAGGGGCUGAUUUGGAUCCACUAGUUUAAUGCUAUGGUUAGACGUUGUCUUAAUUCUUCUUUUGUAGUUGUGGAUGCUUGCGAGAGAGGUUAAUCAUAAGUGGGAUGCUUGUCCAAGUAAGGGCAGUACCCAAGCGCCGGUCCACCCACAUAUCAAAUUAUCAAAGUAACGAAUGCGAAUCAUAUGAACAUGAUGAAACUAGCAUGAUAGAAAUUCCCGUGUGUCCUCGGGAGCGUUUUUCCUCCUAUAAGACUUUGUUCAGGCUUGUCCCUUGCUACAAAAGGGAUUGGGCCACUUUGCUGCACCGUUGCUACUACUUGUUACUUGUUACUUUUUGCUUGCUACGUUUCACCUCGCUACACAAUCACCUGUUACCGCUACUUUCAGUGCUUGCAGUUAUUACCUUGCUCAAAACCGUUUAUCAGAGCCUUCUGCUCCUCGUUGGGUUCGACACUCUUACUUAUCGAAAGGACUACGAUUGAUCCCCUAUACUUGUGGGUCAUCAAGACUCUUUUCUGGCGCCGUUGCCGGGGAGUGAAGCGCCUUUGGUAAGUGGAAAUUGGUAAGGAAACAUCUAUAUAUUGUGCUGAAAUUUAUUGUCACUUGUCACUAUGGAAACUGUUCCUUUGAGGAGUUUGUUCGGGGUAUCUUCACCACGAACGGAAGCACGAGGAGUUGUUCCUCAACCUGAGGUACCUACUGAAAAUAUCUUUUAUGAAAUUCCUUCGGGUAUGCUUGAGAAACUGCUGGCUAAUCCUUUCACAAGAUGGAUCUUCACAUCCACACUUGCAUCUGAUCUAUGUAGAUGAAAUUUGUGGUUUAUUUAAGCUUGCAGGUUUGCCCGAGGAUGAGGUAAAGAAGAAAGUCUUUCCUUUAUCUUUGAAGGAUAAGGCGUUGACAUGGUAUAGGCUAUGUGAUGAUACUGGAUCAUGGGGCUACAAUCGGUUGAAAUUGGAAUUUCAUCAAAAGUUCUAUCCUAUGCAUUUAGUACAUCGUGAUCGGAACUUUAUUUAUAACUGUUGGCCUCGUGAUAGGGAAAGCAUAGCUCAAGCUUGGGGGAGGCUUAAAUCAAUGCUAUAUUCAUGCCCCAAUCAUGAGCUCUUGAGAUAAAUCAUCACUCAAAACUUUUAUGCUCGGCUUUCUCAUGAAGAUCGUACCAUGCUUGACACUUCUUGUACCGGUUCUUUUAUGAAGAAGGAUAUUGAUCACAAGUGGAAUUUAUUGGAGAGAAUCAAACGCAACUCUGAAGAUUGGGAGCUAGAGGAAGGUAAGGAGUCAGGUAUGAAUUUCCAGUUUGAUUGCGUUAAAUCUUUUGUUGACACAAACACCUCUAGAGAUUUUAGCGCUAAGUAUGGACUUGACUCUGAGAUAGUAGCUUCUCUAUGUGAAUAUUUUGCUACUCAUGUUGAUCUUCCCAAAGAGAAGUGGUUUAAGUAUCAUCCUCCUGUAGAAAGCAACAUAGUCAAAACCAAUCUAGUUGAGGAGAAAGUCAUUGCUUUUAGUGAUCCUGUUGUUCCUUGUGCUUACACUGAGAAACCACCAUACCCUGCUAGGAUAAAGGAUUAUUAUAAAGCUCCAACUGUGAUACGUAGGGGUUACAUUAGACCACUUCCACCCCCUGAGGAUAUUAGAGUUGAACCUAGUGUUUCUAUUAUCAAAGAUCGUUUAGCCGAAGACGUAGACGGGCAUGUUAUCAAAUUCUGUGAGGACUCCGCUAGAAUUGCUAAACCUCACGCGAAAGACAAUUACAGACCUGUAGUUGGCCUGCCCGUUGUUUCUGUCAAGAUAGGAGAUCACUAUUACCAUGGUUUAUGUGAUAUGGGAGCUAGUGUUAGUGCAAUACCCCGUUCUCCAUAUGAUGAAAUCAAAGAUGAGAUUGCACCUGCUGAGUUAGAACCCAUUGAUGUCACUAUUACGCUAGCUAAUAGAGACACUAUCUGCCCUCUGGGAAUUGUGAGAGACGUAGAAGUCCUGUGUGGUAAGACGAAGUAUCCUACUGAUUUCCUCGUCCUUGGUAGUGCACAAGAUAGCUUUUGUCCCAUCAUAUUUUUUAGACCCUUUCUCAACACUGUCAAUGCUCACAUUGAUUGCAUUAAGCAGACUGUCACAGUUAGUUUCGAGGGUGUGUCUAAUGAAUUUAACUUCUCUAAGUUUGGAAGACAACCCCAUGAAAAAGAGUCAUCUGGAAGGGAUGAAAUUAUUGCUCUUACCUCUAUUGUCGUACCUCCUACGGAUCCCUUAGAGCAAUAUCUGCUUGAGCAUGAAAAUGAUAUGCAUAUGGAGGAGAGAGAUGAGAUAGAUAAAAUUGUCUUAGAACAAUAUUCUAUUCUCAAGAAUAAUCCGCGUGUUGAACUGCUUGGGGAUCCUCCCCCACCAAAGGGUGAUCCAGUGUUCGAGCUUAAACAGUUGCCUGAUACUCUUAAGUUUGCCUAUCUUGAUGAGAAGGAGAUAUAUCCCAUUAUUAUUAGUACUCUCCUCUCAGAGCACGAAGAGAAGAAGUUACUAAAAACUCUGAGGAAGCAUCGUGCUGCUAUUGGAUAUACUCUUGAUGAUCUUAAGGGUAUUAGUCCCACUCUAUGUCAGCACAAGAUUAAAACCGAUCCUGAUUCAAAACCAGUUGCUGAUCAUCAAAGGAGAUUAAAUCCUAAGAUGAAAGAGGUCGUUAGAAAAGAAAUAUUAAAGCUUCUGGAAGCAUGAAUCAUUUAUCCUAUUGCUCAUAGUGAUUGGGUAAGUCCAGUACAUUGCGUACCUAAGAAGGGAGGUAUCAUCGUCGUUCCUAAUGAUAAGGAUGAACUAAUCCUACAAAGGAUUAUUACUGGCUAUAGGAUGGUGAUAAACUUCCGGAAACUGAAUAAGGCAACUAGGAAAGAUCAUUAUCCUUUGUCGUUUAUCGACCAAAUGCUGGAAAGGCUAUCAAAACACACACACUUCUGCUUUCUAGACGGUUAUUCAGGUUUCUCGCAAAUACCUGUUGCACAAUCUGAUCAGGAGAAAACCACUUUCACCUGCCCCUUCGGUACCUUUGCUUAUAGACGUAUGCCUUUUGGCUUAUGCAAUGCACCUGCCACCUUUCAAAGAUUUAUGAUGGCUAUAUUCUCUGACUUUUGUGAAAAGAUUGUCGAUGUUUUCAUGGAUGACUUCUCUGUUUACGGGUAUUCCUUUGAUGAUUGCCUCAGCAACCUUGAUCGAGUCUUACAGAAAUGCGAAGAUACCAACCUCUUCUUGAAUUGGGAGAAGUGCCACUUUAUGGUUAACGAUGGUAUCGUCUUAGGACACAAAAUUUCUGAGAUAGGCGUUGAAGUUGAUAAGGCUAAGGUUGAUGCAAUUGAGAAAAUGCCUUGCCCCACAGAUAUCAGAGGUAUACAAAGUUUCCUAGGUCAUGCUGGUUUCUAUAGAAGGUUCAUUAAAGACUUCUCUAAGAUUUCUAGGCCUCUUACCAACCUCUUGCAGAAGGAUGUACCUUUUGUUUUUGUUGAGGAUUGUGAGGAAGAUUUCGAAAUACUUAAGAAGGCUUUGAUAACCGCACCUAUUGUUCGACCACCUGACUGGAACUUGCCCUUUGAAAUCAUGUGUGACGCUGGUGAUUAUGUUGUUGGUGCUAUUCCAGGACAAAGAGUUGACAAGAAGUUGAAUGUUAUUCACUAUGCUAGUAAAACUCUAGACAGUGCCCAAAGAAACUAUGCCACUACGGAGAAGGAGUUUUUAGCAGUCGUGUUUGCAUGUGAAAAGUUCAGAUCUUAUAUAGUUGACUCCAAAGUCACUAUUCACUCUGAUCAUGCUGUUAUUAAGUACCUUAUGGAGAAGAAGGACGCUAAGCCUAGGCUGAUCGGAUGGGUUCUCCUGCUACAUGAAUUUGAUUUGCACGUCGUUGACCGAAAGGGUGCUGAUAACCCUGUAGCACAUAACUUGUCUAGGCUAGAGAAUGUCCUUGACGACCCACUACCUAUUGAUGACAGCUUUCCUGAUAAGCAAUUGAAUGUCAUCCGCACUUCACAUAUAGUGCACCGUGGUAUGCCGAUUAUGCAAAUUAUAUUGUAGCCAAAUACAUACCACCCAGUUUCACCUAUCAGCAAAAGAAGAAAUUCUUGUUUGAUUUGAGACACUACUUUUGGGAUGAUCCUCACCUUUAUAAGGAAGGAGUAGAUGGUGUUAUUAGACGUUGUGUGCCUGAGCAUGAACAGGGACAGAUCUUGCAGAAGUGUCAUUCCGAAGCCUACGGAGGACACCAUGUUGGAGAUAGAACUGCCCAUAAGGUAUUGCAAUCAAGUUUCUAUUGGCCCACUCUCUUCAAGGAUGCCCGUAAGUUUGUCUUGUCUUGUGACGAAUGCCAAAGAAUAGGGAAUAUCAGUAAGCGUCAGGAAAUUCCUAUGAACUAUUCACUUGUCAUUGAACCGUUCGAUGUCUGGGGCUUUGAUUAUAUGGGACCCUUCCCGAGUUCCAAUGGGUACACUCACAUCUUAGUUGUUGUGGAUUACGUCAAUAAGUGGGUAGAAGCUAUCCCCAUUAAAAAUGCUGAUCACCACACCUCUAUUAAGAUGAUAAAGAAGUCAUUUUCCCAAGAUUUGGAGUCCCUAGAUAUUUGAUGACUGAUGGCGGUUCACACUUCAUUCAUGGUGUUUUCCUCAAGAUGCUCGCUAAGUAUGAUGUCAAUCAUAGAGUUGCAUCUCCUUAUCAUCCUUAGUCUAGUGGUCAAGUGGAGUUGAGUAAUAGGGAGAUCAAGUUGAUCCUACAAAAGACCGUCAAUAGAUCUCGAAAGAACGGGUCUAGCAAACUUGACGAUGCACUAUGGGCUUAUAGGACUGCUUAUAAGAAUCCCAUGGGUAUGUCACCGUAUAAAAUGGUUUACGGUAAGGCCUGUCAUUUACCUCUUGAGCUGGAACACAAAGCUUAUUGGGCAAUCAAAGAGCUCAACUUCGAUUUCAAACUUGCCGGUGAGAAGCGGUUGUUUGAUAUCAGCUCGUUAGAUGAAUGGAGGGCCCAGGCAUAUGAGAAUACCAAAUUGUUCAAGGAAAAGGUUAAGAGAUGACACGAUAAACGAAUACAGAAACGAGAGUUCAAUGUAGGUGAUUAUGUGCUGCUAUACAAUUCUCGUUUGAGAUUCUUUGCAGGCAAGCUUCUCUCUAAAUGGGAAGGUCCUUAUGUUAUCGAGGAAGUAUAUCGUUCCGGUGCCAUCAAAAUCAAUAACAUGGAAGGAAAUUUUCCUAGAGUGGUAAAUGGGCAAAGAAUCAAACAUUACAUCACUGGUACUCCCAUAAAUGUUGAGACCAAUAUCAUCAAUGUCAUAACUCCACAGGAGUACAUAAGGGAUGUUUAUCAGCCUGUUUCAGACCCUGAAAAUGAAGAGGUAUCUGUUUCGGUAAGAAAUUGGACUCCGACGCUUUCCCAAUAGGAAAUUUUCUCCAUUUUGGAAUUUUUGGAAAAUUAGAAAAAUAAAAAGCAGUCCGGAGAGCGCACGAGGCGGCCAUAAGCUUGGACGCCGCCACCUACCCCCUGGUGGCGGAGGGAGGGCUUGUGGGCACCUCGUGUGCCUCCCGGACUCCGUUUUCUUGCGGAGCACUCCUUCUGGUCCAGAAAAUAUCAAUAUAUAUUAGCCCGAAGGUUUUGAUCUCCGUAUAGCACAGUUUUCCUCUGUUCUCGUUUCAAGCUUGUUGUCUGCCGCAGAUUUAGAGCAAAGAUGUCUCAGGAAUCUGUUGGGGAGAAUGAUCUUCACCAAGUUCAUGAAGAAGUAGAUGUUGAUCUGAAAAUAGUAGAAGUCACGGAAGCCAGGAACGAGGCUAAGGAGAAAACCCAAGCUAGGGAGGAAGUUCAACCUACGUUCAACAUUAAAGACGUUGAAGGAGUAGAUUUUCUCCAACCCUUCCUCCACGUGUUGUCUCCACCCUUGAUUGAACUCUUGAGGUUUUGCGAAACAACUCGUGCUCGCAAUAUUUCCCUUUCUCGUGAAGUUGUUUUGCUGGAAAACCAUGUCACAGAUCUCAAAGGUAUAAAUCAAAGAUGGAUAGCUCUCUUGGAAUCAAAGGCAACAACUCCAGCACCAUCACCACCAAAGGAAGACAACUUAGCAUUGGUAUGGGCAAUCCCCUUGGCUUCUGCCAAGCUUGGGGAAGUUGCCCUGGUAUCGUAUCACCUUUUUAUCUUUUGCUUUUACCUUUGUUUUAGUUCUUUCCUUUUCAGUUUUUAUUUUCUUCUCUUAGAGGAAUAAGUCUUUAGUUUUUAGUUUGAGUCUUUUUCUUUGCUCCCCCGAUGUAUUCGAGCUUACGAGCUAUAUAAUAAAGAGUAUCUUAGUCAAGGGCUCUGCUUUGUGUCGUGAUCAAAAGUAUGAAAAGAACGAUAGCAUAAAAGAUCAUGAGACGAUCUUACGGAAAGUGAUAACUUCACAUAUGACACGUAUGAUGAUUGAAACUUGUUGAGAAUAAAUCAACAUAGACCUCAGUCAUUGUUGCAAUUAAUAAGAAGUAAUAAGGAAAGAGAGAUUCACAUAUAAAUAUAUCAUCUUAGACACUUUUUACAAUUGCAAACACUCACCAAACUAUUGCAUGCCUAGAAGUAGAUGUUGGACAAGGAAGACAACGUAAUGGAUUGUGUUUGCUUGGCUCUGAACAAUGUUCUAUGAUUAGAGAUCCCUUAGCAUGUGACGAUUGCUUCCACCUCAUGUUAGCCAAAACUCCCGCACCAAGUAGAGAUACUACUUGUGCAUCCAUAAACCUUCAACCCAGUUUUGCCAUGAGAGUCCACCAUACCUGCUUAUGGAUUGAAUAAGAUCCUUCAAGUAAGUUGUCAUCGGUGCAAGCAAUAAAAAUUGCUCUCUAAUAUGUAUGAUCUAUUAGUGUGUGGAAAAUAAGCUUUGUACGAACCUGUGAUGAGGAAGACAUAAAAGCGACAGACUGCAUAAUAAAGUUCUUUAUCACAGGAGGCAAUAUAAAGUGACGUUCCUCCGCACUAAGAGGACACGCAUUCAAACCCCAAAAGCGCAUGACAACCUCUACUUCCCUCUGCGAAGGGCCUAUCUUGUACCUUUACUUUUUGCCCUUGUCAGAGUCAUGGUGAUCUUCACCAAUUCCCUAUUCUGCCUUUGUCUUGGCUACCGUCACAUGCUUGGGAAAGAUCUAUAUUCAUAUAUCAACUUGGAGUUGAGUACUUAUGCUUUAUUAUUGUUGACUUUACCCUUGAGGUAAAUCGUUGGGAGGCAAAACUAUAAGCCCCUAUCUUCCUCUGUGUCCAGCUGAAACUUUGACACCAUGAGUACCACGUGAGUUGUAAAAAUUGUGGAAAACAAAAGAGAUGAUUGAGUAUGUGGAUUUGCCUUACAAGCUCUUAUUUGAGUCUUUCUGAUGUUGUGAUAAAUUGCAAUUGCUUCAAUUACUUUGGACUAUUGUUGGUUACUUCUCGGUAAGGUUUUUGCUUCAUGCUUUGCUUUGUGAAGGAAUUUUUACUUUCCCAUAAGAAUCUUUAUGAUGUAUUGCUAUCCUAUGUGUGAUCAUGAUGCCCUCAUGUCCAUAUUAUGUUUUAUCGACACCUUUGUCCCUCAACAUGUGGACAUGUUUAUGGAACUUGGUUUUCGCUUGAGGACAAGCGAGGUCUAAGCUUGGGGGAGUUGAUACGUCCAUUUUGCAUCAUGCUUUCAUGUUGAUAUUUAUUGAUUUAUGGGCUGUUAUAUUACUUUGUGGUACCAUAUUUAUGCCUUUUCUCUCUUAUUUUGCAAGGUUUAUUUGAAGAGGGAGAAUUCAGGCAGCUGGAAUUCUGGACUGGAAAAGGAGCAAAUCUUAGUCCACUAUUCUGCACAUCUCCAAAUGCCCUGAAAAGUUACGUGGAUUUUUUUGGGAUUAUAUAAAAAAUACUGGGCGAAAGAAGUACCAGAGGGGGCUGCCAGGGCGCCACAAGCCCUACCACUGCCACCCCCUGGUGGCGGAGGGCAAGCUUGUGGACUCCCUGACGGCCCACUAUCCCCCCUCUUUUGCUAUAUGAAGGGUUUCGUUCCAGAAAAAAUCAAUCGGGAGCUUUUUCGUGGUUUCACCGCUGCCACGAGGCGGAACUUGAGCAGAUUCAAUCUAGAGCUCCGACAGGACGAUCCUGCCGGGGAACUUCCCUCCCGGAGGGGGAAAUCGUCGCCAUCGUCAUCACCAACACUCCUCUCGACAAAGGGGAGGCAUCUUCAUCAACAUCUUCAUCAGCACCAUCUCCUCUCCAAUCCCUAGUUCAUCUCUUGUAAUCAAUCUCCGUCUCAGGACUCCGAUUGGUACUUGUAAGGUUGCUAGUAGUGUUGAUUACUCUUUGUAGUUGAUGCUAGUUGGAUUACUUGGUGGAAGAGUUUAUGUUCAGAUCCUUGAUGCUAUUCAUUACACCUCUGAUCAUGAUUAUGAUUAUGCUUUGUGAGUAGUUACUUUUGUUCCUCGGGACAUGGGAUAAGUCAUGCUGAUAAUAGUCAUGUGAAUUUGAUAUUCGUUCGGUAUUUUGAUAUGAUGUAUGUUGUCUUUUCCUCUAGUGGUGUUAUGUGAACGUCGACUACAUAACACUUCACCAUAUUUGGGCCUAGAGGAAGGCAUUGGGGAGUAGUAAGUAGAUGAUGGGUUGCUGGAGUGAGAGAAGCUUAAACCCCAGUCAAUGCGUUGCUUCGUAAGGGGCUGAUUUGGAUCCACUAGUUUAAUGCUAUGGUUAGACGUUGUCUAAAUUCUUAUUUUGUAGUUGCGGAUGAUUGCGAGAGAGGUUAAUCAUAAGUGGGAUGCUUGUCCAAGUAAGGGUAGUACCCAAGCGCCGGUCCACCCACAUAUCAAACUAUCAAAGUAACGAACGCGAAUCAUAUGAACAUGAUGAAACUAGCAUGACAGAAAUUCCCGUGUUUCCUCGGGAGCGUUUUUCCUCCUAUAAGACUUUGUUCAUGCUUGUCCCUUGCUACAAAAGGGAUUGGGCCACUUUUCUGCACUGUUGCUACUACUUGUUACUUGUUACUUUUUGCUUGCUACGUUUCACCUCGAUACACAAUCACCUGUUACCGCUACUUUCAGUGCUUGCAGUUAUUACCUUGCUGAAAACCGUUUAUCAGAGCCUUCUGCUCCUUGUUGGGUUCGACACUCUUACUUAUCGAAAGGACUACGAUUGAUCCCCUAUACUUGUGGGUCAUCAGCAGAUGCGUUUACUAUAUUGCUAGGACGUAGCUUUAGUAGUAAUAGCAUGAGUAGCACGACAACCCCGAUGGCGACACGUUGGUGGAGAUCAUGAUGAUGGAGAUCAUGGUGUGGCGCCGGUGACAAGAAGAUCGUGUCGGUGCUUUGCUGAUGGAGAUCAAGAAGCACAUGAUGAUGGCCAUAUCAUGUCACUUAUGAAUUGCAUGUGAUGUUAAUCCUUUAUGCAUCUUAUCUUGCUUAGAACGACGGUAGCAUUAUGAGGUGAUCUCUCACUAAAAUUUCAAGACGAAAUUGUGUUCUCCCCGACUGUGCACCGUUGCGACAGUUCGUCGUUUCGAGACACCACGUGAUGAUCGGGUGUGAUAGACUCAACGUUCACAUACAACGGGUGCAAAACAGUUGCACACGCGGAACACUCGGAUUAAACUUGACGAGCCUAGCAUGUGCAGACAUGGCCUCGGAACACAAGAGACCGAAAGGUCGAGCAUGAAUCGUAUAGUUGAUAUGAUUAGCAUAGAGAUGCUUACCACUGAAACUAUUCUCGACUCACAUGAUGAUCGGACUUGAGAUGGUGGAUUUGGAUCAUGUACCACUCAAAUGACUAGAGAGAUGUACUUUUUGAGUGGGAGUUCUUAAGUAAUAUGAUUAAUUGAACUAAUUAUCAUGAACAUAGUCUAAUGGUCUUUGCAAAUUACGAUGUAGCUUGCGCUAUAGCUCUACAGUUUUUUAUAUGUUCCUAGAGAAAAUUAUAGUUGAAAGUUGAUAGAGCAACUUUGCGGACUCAGUCUGUAAAACUGAGGAUUGUCCUAGUUGCUGCGCAGAAGGCUUAUUUCCUUAAUGCACCACUCGGUGUGCUGCACCUCGAGCGUCAUCUGCGGAUGCUGUGAACAUCCGACAUACACGUUUGUGAUGAAUACGCGAUAGUUCAGUGCAAAAUACUUAAUGGCUUAGAAGCAAGGCCCCGAAGACGUUUUGAAACAUCACGGAACAUAAGAGAUGUUCCAAAGAGAUGAAAUUGUAAUUUCAUGCUUGUGCCCUUGUUAAGAGGUAUGAGACCUCCGACAAGAUUCUUUGUCCACGAAGUAAAGGAUAAAGCUCAAUCAUUGAGCGUGUGCUCAGAUUGUCUGAGUACGACAAUCACUUGAAUCAAGUGGGAGUUAAUCUUCCAGAUGAGAUAGUGACGGUUCUCCAAAGUCACCACCACCAAGCUGUGAGAGCUUCGUGAUGAACUAUAACAUAUCAAGGAUAGAUACAAUGAUCCUUGAGCGAUUCGCGAUGUUUGACACUGCGAAAGUAGAAAUCAAGAUGGAGCAUCAAUAGUUGAUGGUUAGUAAAACCACUAAGUUUCAAGAAAGGCAAGGGCUAGAAGGGAUACUUCGUGAAACAGCAAAACAGUUGCUGCACUAAUGAAGAGACCCAAGAUUAAACCCAAACCCGAGACUAAGUGCUUUUGUUUUGAGUGGAACGGUCACUGAGGCGGAGCUACCCUAGAUGCUUGGUAGAUAAGAAGGCUGGCUAAGUCGACAGAAGUAUAUUUGAUAUACAUGAUAUUCAUGUGUACUUUACUAGUACUCCCAGUAGCACGAGGGUAUUGGAUACCGGUUCGGUUGCUAAGUGAUUAGUAACACGAAAUGAAAACUACGGUAUAAACGGAGACUAGCUAAAGGCGAGGGGACGAUACGUGUUGGAAGUGCUUCCAAGGUUGAUGUGAUCAAACGUCGCACGCUCCCUCCACCAUCGGGAUUAGGUGUUAAACCUAAAUAAUUGUUAUUUGGUGCUUGCGUUGAGCAUGAACAUGAUUGGGUCGUGUUUAUUGCAAAGCGAUUAUUCAUUUAAAGAGAAUAAUGGUUACUCUAUUUUGCUUGAAUAAUCACCUUCAAUGGUUUAUUAAAUCUCGAUCGUAGUGUUACACAUGUUCAUGAUAUUGGUGCCAAAAGAUACAAGGUAAUGAUGAUAGUACCACUUACUUGUGGCACUGCUGCUUGAGUCAUGUUGGUAUAAAUUGCAUGAAGAGGCUCCAUGCUGAUGGAUCUUUAUACUCAGUUGAUUUUGAAUAACUCGUGACAUGCAAAUCAUACCACAUGAGCAAGACCUUGUUUUCGUUGAGAUGAAACAAGAUAGUAACUUGUUGGAAGUAAUACAUUUUGAUGUAUGCAGUCCAAUGGGUGCUGAGGAAAGCAGUGGAUAUCAUUAUGUUAUUACUUGAAUGACGAUUUGAGUAGAUACAUGAGUAUUUACUUAAUGAAUCACAAGUCUGAAAUAUUGAAAAAGUUCAAUUCUGUUUCAGAGUGAAGUUCGUCGUAACAAGAGGAUAAACUGUCUACGAUAUGAUCAUAGAGAUGAAUAUCUGAGUUGCGAGUUUUGGUACACAGUUAAGACAAUGUGGAAGUUGUUUCGCAAUUCAAGCCACGAAGAACACCAUGGUGUGAUGGUAUGUCCGAACGUCAUAGCCGCGACCUAUUUGAUAUGGUGCAUAUUAUGAUGUCUCUUACCGAAUUACCACUAUCGUUUAUGGGUUAUGCAUUAUAGACAACCGCAUUCACUUUAAAUAGGGCACCGCGUAUUUCCGUUGAGAUGACACAAUAUAGACUAUGGUUUAGAGAAACCUAAGCUGUCGUUUCUUGAAAGUUCGGGGCUGCGAUGCUUAUGUGAAAAGGUUUCAGUCUGAUAAGCUCGAACCCAAAGCGGAUAAAUGCAUCUAGGAUAUCCAAAACAGUUGGAUACAUCUCCUAUUCAGAUCCGGAAGCAAAGUGUUUGUUUCCAGAAAUAGAUCCUUUCUCGAGGAAAGGUUUCUCUCAAAAGAAUUGAGUGGGAGGGUGGUGGAACUUGAUGUGGUUAGUGAACCGUCACUUCAACCAGUGUGUAGUAGGGCGCAGGAAGAUGUUCCUGUGGCGCCUACACCAAUUGAAGUAGAAGCUGAUGAUAGUGAUCAUUAGAGCUUCGGAUCAAGUUACUACAAACCUUGUAGGUCGACAAAGGUCACGUUCUACUACAGAGUGGUACGGUAACCCUGUCUUGGAGGUCAUGUUGUUGAACAACAAUGAACCUACGAGUUAUGGAGAAGCAAUGGUGGGACCGGAUUCCGAUAAAUGGCUGGAGGCCAUGAAAUCCGAGAGAGGAUCCAUGUAUAAAACAAAGUGUAGACUUUGGAAGAACUACCUGAUGGUAGUAAUACUAUUAAGUAAAGAUGGAUCUUUAAAAGGAAGACAGACAAUGAUGGUGAUAAGUCACUAUUAAUAAAGGCUCGACUUGUCGCAAAGAUGUUUUCGACAAGAUCAAAGAGUUGACUAUGAUGUGACUUUCUCACUCGUAGCGAUGCUAAAAGUCUGUUGGAAUUAUGUUAGUAGUUGUUGCAUUAUUUGUGAAAUAUUGCACAUAGGAAGUCAAAACAUUGUUUCCUCGACGAUUUCCUUGAGGAAAGAUUGUAUGUAAUACAAUCAGAAGGUAUUUUCGAUCCUAAGGAUACUAACAAGUAUGUAAGCUCCGGCGAUCCUUUAUGGACUGGUGCAAGCAUCCCGGAGUUGGAAUAUAUGCUUUGAUGAGAUGAUCAAAGCUUUUGGGUUUGUACAAGGUUUAUGAGAAACUUGUAUUUCCAAAGAAGUGAGUGGGAGCACUAUAGAAUUUCUGAUAAGUAUAUGUGGUUGACAUAUUGUGGAUCAGAAGUAAUGUAGAAUUUCUGUAAAGCAUAAAAGGUUGUUUGAAAGGAGUUUUUCAAAGGAAUACCUGGAUUGCGCUACUUGAACAUUGAGCAUCAAGAUCUAUGGAGAUAGAUCGAAAUGCUUAAUAGAAGUUUCAACAAAGAUGCAUGCCUUGACAAGUUUUUUGAAAGAGUUGAAAAUAGAUAAGCAAAGAAGGAGUUCUUGGUUGUGUUGUAAGGUGUGAAUUUGAGUAAGACUCAAAACCCGACCCCGGCAGAAGAAAGAGAAAGGACGAAGGUCGUCCUCUAUGCCUUAGCCGUAGACUCUACAGUAUGCCAUGCUGUGUACCGCACCUGAUGUGUGCCUUGCCACAAGUCUGUUAAGAGGUACAGAGAGUGAUCCAGGAUUGAAUCACUGAACAACGGUCAAAGUUAUCCUUAGUAACUUAUGGACUAAGGAAUUUUUCUCGAUUAUGGAGGUGGUUAAAGAGUUCGUCGUAAAGGGUUACGUUGAUGCAAGCUUUGACACUGAUCCGAAUAACUAUGAGUAGUGAAACGGAUUCGUAUAGUAGAGUAGAUAUUUGGAGUAUUUCCGAAUAGCACGUAGUAGCAGCAUCUAUAAGAUGACAUAAAGAUUUGUAAAGAACACACGGAUCUGAAAGUUUUAGAACCAUUGACUAAAACCUCUCUCACAAGCAAGACGUGAUCAGACCCCAGAACUAUAUGGGUGUUGGAUUCGUUAGAAUCACAUGGUGAUGUGAACUAGAUUAUUGACUCUAGUGCAAGUGGGAGACUGUUGGAAAUAUGCCCUACAAGCAAUAAUAAAUUAGUUAUUAUUAUAUUUCUUUGUUCAUGAUAAUCAUUUAUUAUCCAUGCUAUAAUUGUAUUGAUUGGAAACACAAUACUUGUGUGGAUACAUAGACAAAACACUGUCCCUAGUAAGCCUCUAGUUGACUAGCUCAUUGAUCAAAGAUGGUCAAGGUUUCGUGACCAUAGGCAAGUGUCGUUACUUGAUAAUGGGAUCACAUCAUUAGGAGAAUCAUGUGAUGGACUAGACCCAAACUAAUGAAUGUAGCAUGUUGAUCAUGUCAUUUUGUUGCUACAGUUUUUCUGCGUGUCAAGUAUUUAUUCCUAUGACCAUGAGAUCAUAUAACUCACUGGCACCAAAGGAAUGCCUUGUGUGUACCAAAUGUCACAACGUAACUGGGUGACUAUAAAGGUGCUCUACAUGUAUCUCCGAAGGUGUUCGUUGAGUUAGUAUGGAUCAAGACUGGGAUUUGUCACUCCGUGUGACGGAGAGGUAUCUCGGGGCCCACUCGGUAAUACAACAUCACACACAAGCCUUGCAAGCAAUGUGACUUAGUGUAAGUCACGGGAUCUUGUAUUAUAGAACGAGUAAAGAGACUUGUCAGUAAACGAGAUUGAAACAGGUAUGCGGAUACUGACGAUCGAAACUCGGGCAAGUAACAUACCGAAGGACAAAGGGAAUGACAUACGGGAUUAUAUGAAUCCUUGGCACUGAGGUUCAAACGAUAAGAUCUCCGUAGAAUAUGUAGGAUCCAAUAUGGGCAUCCAGGUCCCGCUAUUGGAUAUUGAGCGAGGAGUCCCUCGGGUCAUGUCUACGUAGUUCUCGAACCCGCAGGGUCUGCACACUUAAGGUUUGGCGUUGUUUUAUGCGUAUUUGAGUUAUAUGGUUGGUUAAGGAAUGUUGUUUGGAGUCGCAUAUGAGAUCACGGACGUCAUGAGGGUUUCCAGAAUAGUCCAGAGACGAAGAUUGAUAUAUAGUAUGACCUCAUUUGAUUACCGGAAAGUUUUCGGCAUUACCGGGAGUGACGAAUGGGUUUCGGAUGUUCAUCGGGGGGCAGCCCACCCCGGGGAAGCCCAUAGGCCUUAGGGGUGCCGCACCAGCCCUUAGUGGGCUGGUGGGCAAGCCCAAGAAGGCCCGUGCGUAGGAGAGAAAGAAAAUCAUAGAGAAAAUAAAAAAGGGGGGGAAGUGGGAAAAUAGAGAAGGACUCCACCUUCCAAUCCUAGUUGGACUAGGAUUGGAGGAGGAAUCCUCCUCCCCCCACUUCGGCCGACCCCUUGGGGCUCCUUGAGCCUCAUGGAAAGGUCCCUCACCUCCCUCCUAUAUAUACUGAGGUAUUAGGGCUGAUUUGAGAGAACUUUUGCCACGGCAGCCCGACCACAUACCUCCACGGUUUUUCCUCUAGAUCGCGUUUCUGCGGAGCUCGGGCGGAGCUCUGCUGAGAUAAGAUCACCACCAACCUCCGGAGCGCCGUCACGCUGCCGGAGAACUCAUAUACCUCUCCGUCUCUCUUGCUGGAUCAAGAAGGCCGAGAUCAUCGUCGAGUUGUACGUGUGCUGAACGCGGAGGUGUCGUCCGUUCGGCACUAGAUCGGAGCGGAUCGUGGGACGGAUCGCGGGACGGUUCGUGGGACGGUUUGCAGGGCGGAUCAAGGGACGUGAGGACUUUCCACUACAUCAACCACGUUUCUUAAACGCUUCUGCUGUGCGAUCUACAAGGGUACGUAGAUCGGAAAUCUCCUCUCGUAGAUGAACAUCACCAUGAUAGGUAUUGCGUGUGCGUAGGAAUUUUUUUUCUUUCCCAUGCGACGUUCCCCAUCAGCCCAGGGGGCCCACAAGCCCGUGGGCCGCAGCCUCCCCCCUGGCCACGGGGUGGGGGCUUGUGGGGCCCCUGGGCCCCCUGCCUUGGCUCUCAAGCUUCCCGAUCUUCUUCCGUUACGGAACAUAUCUUUUCGGGGAUUUUCUUCCGUUUGGACUCUGUUUCAAAAUCUCCUCUGAAAGGGGUCAAAAACAUGGAGAAAAACAGGAACUGGCACUUGGCACUGAGUUAAUAAGUUAGUCCCAAAAAAUAUAUAAUAGGCAUGCAUAACAUCCAAAGUUUGACAAGAUAAUAGCAUGAAACCAUCAAAAAUUAUAGAUACGUUGGAGGCGUAUCAACAGCCUCGAGCGCCCGGUUGCUUCACCACCUCGUCCGUCUUCUUCGGAGUGAGUUCGCGCUCAAAGACUUGGGGCCUCUCCACUAUUUCCUCGGUAUAGAGGUAACGCGGCGCCCCAACAACUUCUUCUUGUGCCAGCAGAAGUACGUGCAUGACCUCCUCGAGCGCGCCGGGAUGGACAACUGCAAGGUCGCGCCCACGCCCGUCGACACCAAGGCCAAGACCUCGGCGACCGACGGCACCCUUCUUCCGGACGGAUCCUUCUGCCACAACAUCGUCGGUGCGCUCCAAUACCUGACGCUCACCCGCCCCGAACUGACGUAAGCAGUUCAACAAGUGUGCUUACACAUGCACGCGCCGCGGGACGUGCACUGGGCAUUGGUGAAGCGGAUCUUGCGGUACAUCCCUGGCACUCCUUCGUUGGGGCUCACCUUACAUGCCUCUUCUUCGCUCGACAUCGUCGCCUACUGCUACUGCAACAAAAGACCUUCCAACGGCACUAGCUACUAUCAUGGAGAACUUUGUAUUGAAGAUCCAAGAGAGAGAAGAAGCCAUCUAGCUACUAACUACGGACCCGUAGGUCUGAAGUGAACUACUCACGAGUCAUUGGAGGGGCGAUGAUGAUGAUGAUGAUGAAGCCCUCCAACUCCAAAGUCCCCUCUGGCACGGUGCCGGGAAGGGUAUCUAGAUGAGAUCUCGCGGAAACAGAAGCUUGCGGCGGCGGAAAAGUAUUUUCGAGGCUCCCCUGAUUUUUUGCGGAAUAUUUGGGAAUUUAUAGGCCAAAGACCUAGGUCAGGGGGCGGCCAGGGAGGCCACAAGCCUGCCCACCGCCGCCUCCCCCCUCGUGGCGGAGUGGGGGCUUGUGGGCUCACUAGAUCCCACCUGGCUUGGCCCAAAGGCCCCCUGGUCUUCUUCCGUUCGGGAAAAAAUCAUUUCGUGGUUUUUCUUCCGUUUGGACUCCGUUCCAAAAUCAGAUCUGGAAAGAGUCAAAAACACGGAAAAAACAGGAACUGGCACUUGGCACUGAAUUAAUAAGUUAGUCCCAAAAAACAUAUAUAAAAGGUACAUAAAACAACCAAAGAAGACAAGAUAGCAGCGUGAAACCAUCAAAAAUUAUAGAUACGUUUGAGACGUAUCAAGCAUCCCCAAGCUUAACUCCAGCUCGUCCUCGAGUAGGGAAGUGAUAAGAAUGAAUUUUUGAUGCUUUCAUGCUACCUAGCAUAUAUGUCCUUUGUAAUUCCUCUUAUGUGACGUGAAUGUUCAGAUCCAUUAGAUUCAAAGCAAUAGUUUGCUAUUGACGUGGAAACAAUAAUAAUUCAAGCAAACUAGCAAGGUAAUCAUGAACUUUCAAAAUAACAAGGCCAAAAGAAAGUUAUCCCUACAAAAGCAUAUAGUCUGUCUAUGCUCUAUCAUCAUUGCACAAUGAAUUUAAAUCAUGCACAGCCCCGGUAUUGGCCAAGUAAUUAUUUCACACCUUUACUUUCUCAAACCUUUUCAACUCUCACGCAAUACAUGAGCGUGAGCCAUGGUUAUAGCACUAUAGAUGGUGUGGAAUGUAGUGGGGGUUGCAAGACAAAAAGGAGAAGAUAGUCACAUUAACUAGGCAUAUCAAUGAUUGUGGAGAUGCUCAUCAAUAGAUAUUAAUGUGAAUGAAUAGGGAUUGCCAUACAAUUGAUGCACUAGAGCUAUGAGUAUGUGAAAGCUCUUAAAGAAAACUAGUGGGUGUGCAUCCAACUUGCUUGCUCACGAAGACCUAAGGCAAUUGUGAGGAAGCCUAUCAUUGGAAUAUACAAGCCAAUUUAUAUAAUGAAAAUUUCCCACUAGCUAUACGGUGGUGACAAAAUGAGAGACUCGCAAUCAUGAAGAUCAUGGUGCUUAAUAUGCACAAGUGUGGAAAAAGUGGUAGCAUUGUCCCUUCUCUCUUCUUCUCUCAUUUUUUAUUUGGUGGGCUCUUUGGCCUCUUUUUUGUGGACUUCUUUGGCCUCUUUUAUUUCCUCACAUGGGACAAUGCUCCAUUAAUGAUGAUCAUCACACUUUCAACUCAAAACUUAGAGUAACGAUGACUCUAUAUGGAAUGCCUUUGGUAGUGUACCGUGGCAAUGAUCUAGCAUGGCAUAGACAUCAAUGGAAACAUCAUGCUAGCUAUCUUACGAUCAUGCAAUGGCAAUGUAGACGUGGUGGCACAUGUCAUGGUGGUAGUUGCAUGACAAUAUAUCUCGGAAUGACUUUGAAAAAGCCAUAGUAGGUAGGUAUGGUGGCUGUUUUGAGGGAGGCAAAUGGUGGGUUUUGUGCACCGACGAAAGUUGCAUGGCACUAAGAAGAUGGUGAUGGUGGAAGGUGAAAGUGCAUCUAAACCAGGGACUCAACAUUAGUCAUGAAGAACUCAUAUACUUGUUGCUAAAGUUCUAUUAGUAAUCGAAACAAAGCAUUCAACACAUACUCCUAGGGGAAGGGUUGGUAGGUAUAAACCAUCGCGCGAUCCCGACCGCUACGCAAAGGAUGACAAUCAAUAGACUAAUCAUGUUCAGAUUUCAUCACAUAGCGGUUCACCAUACGUGCAUGCUACGGGAAUCACUAACUUCAACACAAGUAUUUCUAGAUCCACAACACCUUACUAGCAUGACUUCAAUAUUACCAUAACCACAACUCAAAACUAAUUGAGAUGAAUCAAACUUCUCUAACUAUUCAAUGCACAUGAAGGUGGAAGUUUUCGUAUCCCUUUAGAUAACUACCCCUUUUGAGACUACUUUCAAAGCAUAGAUCAACUACCAAGCCAUGCACCGCUGUGCUCUAAAAGAUAUAAGUGAAGCACAUAGAGCAAAAGUAUCUAGCUCAAAAGAUAUAAGUGAAGCACAUGUGAGCUGAAUUGUCUACCAAAAGAUAUAAGUGAAGCUCGACAAAAUCAUGGUGUGUGCAUGUCUCUCUCUCUAGGUGUGUAGCAAGGAUGAUUGUGACACAACAAAAUUAAAAGACUCCUACAAUACAAGACGCUCCAAGCAAAAACACAUAACAUGUGGUGAAUAAAAAUAUGGCCCCAAGUAACGUUACCGAUGGAUUGAAGACGAAAGAGGGGAUGCCUUCCCGGGGCAUCCCCAAGCUUAGGCUUUUAUGGCAUCCUUGAAUCUUUUGGGGUGCCUUGGGCAUCCCCAAGCUUGAGCUCUUGCCACUCUUUAUCUCUUUGUCCAUAAGAACUUCACCCAAAACUUGAAAACUUCACAACACGAAACUUAAACAGAAACUCGUGGUAACAUUAGUACAAGAAAGCAAACCACCACUUCCUUAGGUACUGUAGCAAACUUAAAUUCUACUUAUGCUGAUGUUGGGUUACUGUACUUUCAAUCUUCCAUGGCUAAUAUCCCCGAUACUAUCCAUAGUUUCAUCAAAAUAAGCAACCAACACAACAAAAAACAGAAUCUGUUAACAGCAGACCAGUCUGUAGAGAUCUGUAUAUUUCGUAUACCUCUGGUACUUCAAAACUUCUGAAAAAUUAUGACAGUCUCAAGAAUUUACGUAGCAAUUAGAAGCAAAAAUAAUCAACUCAAAAGCUCUUACAGAAAAAAAAUGAAAAUUCUUUUCGUGAGUAGAAAGUUUCUGUCUUUUCCAGCAUGACCAAACGAUCAUCCCCAAGACUAAUCGUAACGGUUUUUCUUGGCACAAACGCAAAAAGAAACACAAAAACACAAUCAUAACAGAAUUAUGAAAGUGUGAAAAACACAAAACAGAAAGAAAAAUGAUAGAUUCGUUGGGUUGCCUCCCAACAAGCGCUUUUGUUUAACGCCCUUAGUUAGGCAUUGAAUGAUGCUCUCACAAAAGACAAGAAUUGAAGCACAACGAGAGAAUCCUAAAGCAUGUGAAAAUCACAUCUAAGUCUAACAUACUUCCUAUGCAUAGGCAUUUUAUAGGAAAACAAAUUGUCAAGACAACCAAUAGCUGCCAUAUGCAAGGAAGAAGAAAGAGACAAGAGCAAUCUCAACAUCACGAGAGGUGAUUUGGUAACAUAAAAGUUUCUACCAAAAUAUUUUCCUCUCUCAUAGCAAUUACACGUGGGAUCAUUUUCAAAUUCAACAAUAUAGCUAUCCCAUAGGAUAUUAUUUUCAUGAUCCACAUGCAUGCAAAGUUGACGCUCUUNNNNNNNNNNNNNNNNNNNNNNNNNNNNNNNNNNNNNNNNNNNNNNNNNNNNNNNNNNNNNNNNNNNNNNNNNNNNNNNNNNNNNNNNNNNNNNNNNNNNNNNNNNNNNNNNNNNNNNNNNNNNNNNNNNNNNNNNNNACGCUCUUCAAAAAUAGUGGAAUUGUCAUCAAAUAAAGUCAUGACUUCUCCAAUCCCACUUUCAAUAUUGUCGCAAAUAUCAUAUUCAUCAUGAGGUUUGAACAAAUUUUCAAGAUCAUAAGAAAGAUCAUCACCCCAAUCAUGAUUAUUGCAACAAGUAGUGGACAUAGCAAAACUAGCAUCCCCAAGCUUAGGGUUUUGCAUAAUUUCAGCAUGAUUAUCACUAAUAGAAUUUAUAGUGAAACCAUUGCAAUAAUGCUUUUCAUCCAAGGAACCCUCGUGAAUCACUUCAUAAUUUUCUUCCACACAAUUUUCAGAUUCACGCCUCUCAAGCAAAACUCCAUAGAAAUAGUCAAUUGCCCUCAACUCACUAGCAAUUCAUUCCACAUAAGUGGGUCUCUUAAAGAUAUUAACAAACGAGGAUGCAAGCAUAUUGAAGGCACAUGGCACACAAGUGAACAAAAAGCAAGCGAGAAAAAGGGCGAACGAAAAAGGAAAAAGGAAAACGGCAAAUGUGAAGUNAUAUAUAUCAUAGAUAAUCUGAGCACAAAUCCACAAUUCAUCUUAUCUCGACAAACACACCGCCAAAGAAGAUUACAUCGGAUAGAUCUCCAUGAAGAUCAUGGAGAACUUUGUAUUGAAGAUCCAAGAGUGAGAAGAAGCCAUCUAGCUACUAACUAUGGACCCGUAGGUCUGAAGUGAACUACUCACGAGUCAUUGGAGGGGCGAUGAUGAUGAUGAAGAAGCCCUCCAACUCCAAAGUCCCCUCCGGCAGGGUGCCGGGAAGGGUCUCCAGAUGAGAUCUCGCGGAAACGGAAGCUUGCAGCGGCGGAAAAGUAUUUUCGAGGCUCCCCUGAUUUUUUGCGGAAUAUUUGGGAAUAUAUAGGCCAAAGACCUAGGUGAGGGGGCGGCCAGGGAGGCCACAAGCCUGCCCACCGCCGCCUCCCCCCUGGUGGCGGAGUGGGGGCUUGUGGGCUCCCUGGAGCCCACCUGGCUUGGCCCAAAGGCCCCCUGGUCUUCUUCCGUUCGGGAAAAAAAUCAUUUCGGGGUUUUUCUUCCGUUUGGACUCUGUUCCAAAAUCAGAUCUGAAAAGAGUCAAAAACACGGAAAAAACAGGAACUGGCACUUGGCACUGAAUUAAUAAGUUAGUCCUAAAAAAGAUAUAAAAGGUACAUAAAACAACCAAAGAAGACAAGAUAGCAGCGUGAAACCAUCAAAAAUUAUAGAUACGUUUGAGACGUAUAACCUACUCCGAUGCGGAUUGGGCUGGCUGUCCCGACACCCGACGCUCUACCUCAGGCUACUGCGUCUACGUCGGCUCGUUGCUCAUUUCCUGGUCGUCCAAACGACAACCGACGGUGUCCCCCUUGAGCGCCGAAGCAGAGUACCGUGCCGUGGCCAAUGCCGUGGCGGAAUGCUCUGGGCUCCGACAGCUCCUUGGAGAGCUGCAAUGUGCUGUCCAACACGCCACCGUUGUCUACUGCGACAACGUCUCUGCUGUCUACCUGUCCGCCAACCCGGUGCACCAUCGGCGGACCAAACACAUCAAGCUUGACAUACACUUUGCAUGGGAGAAAGUUGUGCUUGGGGAUGUUCGCCUUCUUCAUGUGCCUACCUCUCAACAAUUCGCCGACGUUAUGACUAAGGGGCUGCCGGUGUCGGUCUUCGAAGAAUUCUGAUCGAGCCUCUGCGUCUCCGGCGACGUUUCGUUUGGGGGGUGUUGAAGCACUCGUCUAUACCGUUGCUCACGACAACCCUUCUCUUAGCGCAUGCAUAGGAUGAGCUACCCACUCGCCCACUCCCCUCCUUCUUGCUCGGGUAGUUAGGCUGUUAGGCUAGCUUAUCCUCUCCCUCUGUACAUAUAUAAGUAUGUGUUGUGUCAAUGAGAAUCGGUGUGCAACAAAUUAUUUCUUUCUCCCUUGCUUUACAGAUAUAAUUCAGAAGUUUGCGGGCAGUGCCUACAGAUGCACUGACAGCGUCCGUGAGUGUUUGAGAAACCGUAUUUAUCAAGUGUGGCUCUAGAUGCUCUAACUUUCUCCACCAGUGCGUGCGUGAUUUUACCACGGGUUUCGUCAAAUUUCGCCUCAUUCGAGAAGUCAGGAGUAUGUAUAUAUGUGCAGUAACAUAGCUACUAACAUAGUCUUGGGACUAGCAAACAUGGUGAUGUGACAAGUAAUUAAAGAAGAGAGAGAGGAUUAGAGUAACAUAGGUAGAUAUCGUAACAUGUUAAAUUCUAUGCUACUAUGUGUCAUGCAUGUCAAUAAAUGAGAUCACCUAUGAUACUAGUUUAUGAUACUCCCUCUGUUUCUUUUUAGUCUGCAUAUAAGGUUUGGUUAAAGUCAAGUUUUGUAAAGUUUGACUAACUUUAUAUUAAAAAAUAUCAACAUUCAUAACAUGAAAUCAAUAUUAUCAGAUGCAUCGCGAGAUGUAUUUUCAUACUAUAUAAUUUUAGUAUAGUAGAUAUUAUUAUUUUUUAUAUAAAUUUGGUCAAACUUUAUGUUGUUUGACUUUGACCAAAUCUUAUACGCGGAGUAAAAAGAAACGGAGGGAGUAAUAUGCACUAUGAAGGUAGUAUCAUACAAUAGUAACAUAUGCAUAAUACUACUACUAGCAAAAGAGCCCGUGCGUUGCAACGGGAGAAAAAAAUACCACACGCUUUUAAUCUUUUUAUAAUGAUUUGGAUUUAUUAAAAUAAUAAGCUAACUAACUAAUGUAGUUAGUCCUAUCCUAUUUUGUUGAGAAAUCAACCCGUCCAUUGUUAAUUCCACCAUAAUGAGAAAUUGAGCGGAACAAGCAAAGCAAAACAAAGAGCCUACGUGAAUUGAUCAAUGGAUUGUUAUCUUAUUUCACUCAUGAGAUAGAGAAUGUGGGAUCAGAUGACAAAUUGAAGGUGGUGUUCCAUUCUCUCUCUCUACAACAACGCAAUCUUACAUUCAAUACAUUCAUUCAUCAGCAAACAAAUUUCCACAAAACAAAAUUUCUUGCCGGUGCUUGGCACACGGUUGGAGGCAUGGGGAGGGGAUCUCACGAGAUGAUGAGUUCCAGUCGGAGGAGGGGAUAAGCAAGGGUUAGGCGCCUCUAUCUGGCCAUAAGGAGUCGCCGUUGCCGCGCCAUAACCUCGGAGUUCCCCGUGUGAGCCAUGGAAGCCCACCUCCACCUGCAAGUACUUCACUCCGCCGCGCCUUAUCCGCGCGCCGCUGCCGUUCUGCAUCGAGCAGACGCAUCAUCCCAAGUCGUUGUAGCUGUCGCGUUGAUUUGAUCCAGAAGCUGUGCUAGAGCGCCGAAACGGGGGCAGCAAGCGGGCAGAGGUACGACCGCGGAGGCGGGUGGGUUGAGAUCGACAGCAAUGGUGGUUGAGGUCGGCUGCGGCGGCGAGUGGUGUGACAGCGGCCUCGGCACAGGCCAGGGUGGACCAGGGUCGACGCGAUGCGCUCGAACGCCGCAACGGGGGCAGCGAGCGGGGAGAGGUACAGCCGCGGAGGUGGGUGGGUUGAGAUCGGCAGCGGUGGCGGUUGAGGUCGGCCGCGGCGGCGAGUGGUGUGGCGACGGCCUGGAUAUAAUUUUUGCAGCGAAUUAUUUUUUCCUUUUGCGUUGCAGAUAGAUGAUGAGGUGCGGGUUGAAUAACAAAAAUACAGGGGCUUUUUUUUUUAUAAAAAUGGCGUGGUGGUCGAUAUGUUACUUUUCACUAGGAGCAGCCUAAAACGCUGAAUAUAUCCGGCCGUAAUUCGAGGCAGUAAAAUUAUCACACGACAAUUUAAUUACUGGAGUACAGUACGUAGUAUUAGUAGUUAUUGUGGAGUGUAGUGGUUGGUUCCGGUGCUGGUAAUGACUUCACUGUAGCCUGCCUAGCUAGCCUGCCCCGACAUUUGCCGCAAAAAGAAGUAUUUUGUCCCGGCAACGAAACGCAGGCUGGUCGAUGGUGGAGCAGCGCCGCUAGCUGGCUGGCUUGGCCCUGUGCCGUCGUCUUCCUCCGAGGACACGGGAGGUAAUGACGCUGCCCAUCGUAUGCCCAGCCCCGUACCGAUCUCGCUGUCAGACUGGCAGUGCAUGACUCCAUGCCGUGAACACCAAGAGAGCCACUAGUGUGUUUGCGUGUGUGUUAAUUUCACGGCCGUAUAAACAUCGUACCCGUACCCAUGGUGGCUGGCAGUGGCGGAGCCGAGUGGGUGGCAUCGCAGUUCACGCCGGGGGCCUUGGACCCUUGCUCGGACGAGGAGACAGGCACGAGGAAGAAGAAAAGCCACGCGCACCGCAUCGCAGAUCACGCGCCAAAGGGAGAAAUCGGCCGGGCUGAUAUAGAUUACAAAAUUGUGGGUGGAGGCUAAACUUCAGCAUUUCCGAGGAUGGAACUUGUCUGCCAGCGCCGCAUAUGCGUGGUCGUGCUCUGCUCUCCCUGUGUUUGCCUUUUCUUCCUGAUUUCCUACGGCAGGGUGUGCCCUCUACAUGAUGUACAUAAAAGGGAAAAAAAAGAAGCGGUGUGCAUUUUUCUGAAGGAAAGUGUGCCGCAUCUUCUUCAUUUUUUUUAAUGAGGAUGUACUCCCUCCAUUCCUAAAUAUAAGUCUUUGUAAGAUUUCACUAGUGGACUACAUACGGAUGUAUAUAGAUAUACUUUAGAGUAAAGAUUUAAUUAUUUUAUUUCGUAUGUAGACCCUUAGUAAAAUCGUUUAAAAGAUUUAUAUUUAGGAACGAAGGGAGUAUAAGAAUAAUGCAGCGGCUUAACCAGUGAAGGAGGGCAGCGGCGAAGCAUGGUAAUUGGGAACGGUUUGCAUGAUAGCAUAUGUUGGCCCAGGGUGACAAGUUUAGCUUGUAAAAUUGAUGAAUCCAUUUCAGCUCAGUUUUUGCAAGGAUUUGCUAUGCUUGCAAACUAAACUUCAUUUUCUGGAGGACGAACCGUUAAGACUGGUCAGUGUGGAAUAACUUCGACCAUUAACAUGCAUAUGUUAUUCUUUUUUUUUUUUGCGAUGAAACAUAUGUAUAGAGUAACAUAUGUGGUGUCAUGUAACACUUCAUUCAUUAAAUUUUAUAUUAUAGACUCACUUUGUCUUCACACGUGUGAUGUUACUCAUAGUGUGAAUAACUAGUCAUAUUAUUUAAUUUAUAUUUUUCCUUAUUAAAUAAUUGUCACAUAAACAAAUUUAUUGAGUUAAACCUUAUGUUACUCCUGAAGUUAUUUCCUCUAUGGGUAGUAUAAUAAUGAGAAGUUUUUAAAGCUAGCUAAUAACGAGAGUUGUGGUCCUGUGCUUUUAUUAUGCCCACUUAUGGGCUGCUAUUUCGGCAGCCCAUACUCCUAUCUAGACAAUUCCUAUUUGGUGCAUUCCGUGGAAAAUACUCGCCCCUUCGCAUAGGCGCAAGUGACUCAACUUAUAUAAACGAACAUAUGGCUUGACGUUACUAUCAGGAUGCCGUCAUGUAUAAAUCGUGUGUCUGUUAACACUUGGCUUAUAUAUAAAUUGUGUGUUUUCGUUGUGACUCUCAGCUUACACCUGAUAAGCCGGUCCUUAGUAAGUUGUAUGGUAUAAAUCAGGGAAAACACUCGGCUUAUAUAUAAACCCAAUGUAAACUGUUAUAAGUCUAGUGUUUCGGGCACUCAGCUUAUUAAUUUUUUUUCUUGUAGUGCAUGUUGCAGAAAUUUAAACAUAGGUCAAGUAGCGAAUGAGAUAGGCCGGCCCAUUCAACGAAUAGAACAUGCUACAUGACCUGGAUUUUUUUAGCCUACUUCAAUUAGUUUUCAUCUCUUUUGAUUUCUUUCUGUUGUUUCUUUUAUCAGUAUUCUUUGUUUUUCCCUUUUUUCAAAUGUCUUCUUUCAAAUAAAUCUUUUGAAUUUCAAAAAAUUCUUGUAGUUUAAGUUUUCAUUUUUAAUUUCAAAAAAAAUAUUCUUGCUCAAAAAGUUAUUAAUUUUUUUAAACAUUCGGGUUUCAAAAAAUUUGCAGAAUCUUAGAAAAUAUCCACAUUUUCAAUAUAUUUAAAAACAAUACUAGCGAACUUUAAUAAAUAUCACUGUCUUAAAAAAUGAUUAGAAUUGUUUUAAAAAACAUGUUUCUAGAAAGCGUGCAAAAUUUUAAAAUAAGUUCAUGUUUAACAUAUGUUCUCAAAAUUUUAAAACCCGGUGACUAAAGUAACACGGUUCACUAAAGUACCCUCCUAGCUCGCUCGCUAGCAGUUCGCGGAUGGACCAGCCCACCAAGAUAAACCGCCUUUGUUUUGCAAGCCUUCUAUUUGAUGCAAAUAGCACAAAAUAGGAGGCUUCAUCUAACAGGUCACACCCGACACCAUGACAUGCAUGAGAUCCCGAGCCUACCACAACAAUUGUGCCCCUCCUCAAAAUUUGAUGGGGCCUGUCUACAGGUCGCUUGCAGCAAGUGCUAUCCUCGCCUCGUCUACAUGUUCGCUGCUCGCCUCUAUUGGGUUGCCCCGUGAAUCACACUUACCUACCAAUGUGCUUCUCGCAUGCCUUGAGCCUCGCAGCGGUGCGUUGCAAUCUCGUUCCUCUUAACAAAAAAACUUAUCAUGCUCUUUACUAUGGUCAACUUACAAAUUAAAAAAACUAAAUCCUGUGCAACAUUUUUUUGAAUUCCUAAAAUGUCUUAAUAAAUAUAUAAAUAAAUGCGUGACUUCCCGAAAACAUUGCAUAAAAUUUUGAAAAUUUUCGCACCACUCAAGAAAAUAUCAUAACAUUUAUUUAUUUUCACAUAUUUGAAAUAUUGUUCAUGACAAUACUAGAAAAUGUUCAUGAAAUUUUUAUGACAUUCGAGCAAAGUUUGACAAAAAGUGUUCUUGACACGUAAAACUUAUUCACCCCAAAUUGGAAAAUAUUUAUAUUUUACUUAUAAAAUGUUCACCAUGAAUUUAAAAAAUGCAACAUGUAUUAAUUUUUUAAACAUGUAUCUGAAAAAUGUUUAAUGCAUAUUAAAAAACCAUUCAUCGUGUAUGUAAAAAGAGGUCAACGUGUUGUUUAUUUGGUGUUUGUAUUUUUUAGUAGGUAUUUUUAAAGUUUAUUUGGAAAACAAGAAUACUUUUUUGAAACACAUAUAAAUCUGUAAAAAACACUGGGAAAUACAGAAACACCGGACCAAACCUUUCAAAACCGGACUCUAUAUCUCACUUCUAGGAAGACGUAAGCCAACGUCAUCUAAAGAGUAGCAUGGUUGUGUAUUUCUUCAAUCUGUUUUUUUCUACUUAUUUCAUUUUUUUAUUUUUUUUCACAAAAAUUCUAAAUUUAUAUAUUUCAUGGCGAAUUACAAAAAUUAUUUUGAAUAAUAAACAGUGUUAAAAAUGUUUGUGCAACUUUAGAAAAUGUAGAUAUCAUUUAAAAUAUAUAUUUUAGUGCGUAUGUAAAAAAUGUUUAACACAUAUCCGAAGAAAAAGUUGAAAAGGAUGGGUUAAAAAAGGUGGAACAUGUAUCUGGAAUAUGUUAAAUGAAUAUUAAAUAAAUGUUUUAUAUGUAUAUAAAAAUGUACAUUGUGUAUGAAAAAAUAAACACGAAACUAUUAUUUGAAAAAAUUAUUAAACAUGUUUAAAUCAUGUUACUCAUGUAUAUGAAGAAAAUGUACAAUGUAUGUGUCAAAUGUAGACAACAAAAAUAUACAUUCUGAAAAAAGGUUUGUCAUGUAGUUGAAAAAUGUGAAACAUGUAUACAAUUAAUGUUUCAUAUGUAUACACAAAAUUUAGAACCUACAUAAAAAAAUACUUAGAAAAAAUAUAUUAAAAAAAAUGUUAAUCACGUAUGUAAAAUUUAAUAAUCAUGUAUGAAAAAUGUUAUUGUUGUAUACAAGAAAUGAAUAUAUUUGUAAAAUUAUAGAUCGUGUAUUUUAAAAAUGUUUAAAAAAUGCUCUUUAUGUAUAUUAAAAGGUACAUUGUGUGUGAAAAAAUAGACAUGUGUUAGAAAAGGAAAUAGAAAAAUAGCUAAGUAAAUUGAAGAAAAUAAUGGAACAGAGUGAAAAGAUUAAAAAAACAAAGAAAAGAAAACCCAAAGAAACUAAUGUAAAACAGUAAAACUAUUGGUACAUUAUUGGUCCGGCCCUAAAAUGCUGCCUGUAGGCGAGAUGUAAUACAUCUUUUUACGGACAAUAUAUAGCUUACGCGCCCAAAAUCAUACUACUAAACAGUGGCCACCUACUUGCUACUGGGCCAUUGCCCGUAUAGGAAGCAUCCUAGAGGCAAGCUUUUGUUUCAUAGCGGCUAAUCACUGACAAUAUAAUUUCAGCUUAUGAAUUAUUGUAUUUUAUAAAGAUAAAUGGAUCAAAGAAUAACAAUUAUCGUGCUCUAAAGCUUGACAUGAUGAAAUCGUAGGAUAUAGUUGAAUGGUCACAUCUCAGGGUUAUCAUGGAGAAGCUGGGUUUUGCUCGACAAUGGAUAUCUGUUAUCAUCAGCAUGAUGAGCUCAUUAUCUUUUGAAACAUGUUCAAUGGAAUAAAAUCAAAGGAAUUUAAACCUACAUGAGGUAGUCGAGAGGGAGACCCUAUCUCUCCAUACCACUUCUUGUUAACAUCAAAGGUCCUUUCGUGCCCGUUAAAAGUCUCAAAAACAGUCAUCCUAGCUCAGCGGUAUCAAGAUGACACUAACGACUCCGUUGGAGAAUCACCUUCUUUCGUAGAUGACAACAUACUAUUUUUCAAGGCGAGUAUUAAUGGAGCUGAAGAGGUAUCAAACCUAUUGGAUAAAUAUUUCAUAGCGUCGGGACAGAGAAUAAAUAGAGAGAUCCUCAAGUUUUUUAAGCAAAGGCUCUCCGAAUGACGGAGGGGGGUUGAGUGAAGUGGGUAGGGUUUGGUCCGACAAACAGAUGAAAACAAAUAUAUAUGAAAUCGGAUGGACCAGCGUGGUCUGAGUCCGACAUGGCGAACGCGCGUGAACGUCCUAUAUCCGGAUUGAUUUUUCAUGAUCGAUCGAUGACCGUACCGUCUGCCCGGACGGACGCCAGGUUUGGGACGCGCGACUCUAGAUGCUCUUAGCACGAGCUAGUAGGUCAGGAAAUGGUAGUACUUUGUUUCAGAAGAGCAGUGCGCUGACUGUGUGCAUCGUACUGAGCUCUUCGGUCGGCAGUGGUCGAAAUGCAGUUGUCGUGGAUUGAAAUGCCUAAAAUCUCAAGUUGUGCUGUUCUUGGGCAAUUCCUUUUCCUGUUCUGAUCAAGAUUUUGCUGCCUAAAACAUCUACUACUCCUGUUAGUCUUGGCUUCAACCGUGGCAAACUAGCAGAGGAAGGCUAGCUUCCAAGCCUGCAUUGAAGUUAGAAAACCACACCCAACAUCCUGAAGAAAAGGAAAAAGACUGGACACAAAUUUAAGAACCACCGAAAGAUUCACUUUAUUUUGCACUUGUGCACUUCUGCAUCCACGAACGCGACAUGCUGCUUAUUCAUUCAUUCACACGACGACCCAAUGAACUAACUAGCGUUCAUGGGAAGACGCAGUAGGCGCCUCCAUGGAUGGUUGGCAGGUUGCACUGCCCGGGCAGGGCGAGCGUUCUGGCGAAGUCCCUCUUCACCUCCGCGGGGCACUCGGUCGCCAGCGGCGGCAGCUGAGGGGGCGCGCCUUGGCUUUGACUGGGAGGGAACGCCCGGUCGAUGAAGACGCGCAGCCCCUCGCAGCGGCAGUUGGACGAGAUGCCGGCCAGCUCCCGGCAGCACCAGUCCUUCAUCACCUCGAUGGGGAGCAGCGGCACGGCGCCGCAGGUCUGCGAGGCCACGUAGAAACGGCAGCCCUGGAGCGGGUUGACGGGGAGACCCAUCCCUUCGUAGCAGGUGUAGAUGCUGGUGGCGGUCGCGACGCCGGCCAGGACGGAGAAGAUGGCGACGGCUGAGAGGAGGUGCUGGCUGCAGGACGCCAUUGGCGUUUGCUGUGUUUUCUGUGGUGGAGUGGAGCACCGCGCUUGUGAGCUGGGGUUGCGUUUGCAUACACAUGUAUAUAUACUGAGACGAAUGAGUACUAGAGGGAAAAUGAAGCUGGUAAUAUUGGAUGUGGCUCAUGUGAUGGUGAUGAACUGGAGCGCAGUUGAUGGAUCUGUUGGAACAGAAUUUGGCUGCCGAUGUGUUAAGGGUCAUGUGGUGGUGAUGAUGAUGAUGAACUGGUGGGCGAAUCCGUUGGAACAGAAUUUAGCUGAUACGAUGAUGGAUGUGUGUUGCGUGACAUAUAUGUGAUCAUGAUGAGCUGCCGCGCAAUUGAUUAGUUUGUUCGGAGCAGAUUUUGGAGCGAAAUGCAAGCUGGGCAUUGCGUGGAGGAACAUUAAGAGAUUUCGCCCUUCCAAUUUUAGCUUUUCCAUGAACUUAAUUUGGAGGUAAAUGCAAGCAUAUAUGUCUGUUGGCACAUCAACACACAAGACAAGGAAAUAGAACUAGCCAAGCAUUUCCAAGUGACUGUCUCAAAGCGAUCCAGGUUCGCUGCCUUUGUGUGGCAAAGGUAGCGCCGCUGCCUUUCCCACGCGUAAGCAGUACGAUCUCGAUCAACGCUUCAGAUUGUGCUAUAGUGCAGCGUCUACACGAGCAAACAUCGAACAUGUGCACCUACGAACAGUUGGUGCGACAGUACAUCAGUCUGAACCAUCGGUUUCCCAUCGCACGCUUUCCAGUGGGUAGGUCAGGAUACUGUAGCACUGAACCACGCAAAGGCAGCGAAUCCGGAUACGUCUCGAAGGUAGAUAUUUUUUAAAGAAAUCUCGAAACUAUAUUAUCGAUUUUAUAAAUUGCAUUUCAGUGACCUUAACGGCCUUGUGUCGGCUGAAGAGGUAAUCUUCGGUUGGCGGACAAUGCCAAAGGGCUAGUUUUCAUCCGUGCCUCAAUUGAAGAGGACGUUUACGUCCAUGUAUAUAUCGAAUAUGGCCUUGCAUUGUGGCUCUUGCCGAAAAUCUUCUCUUCGGCCCCUCUUACGCCGAAUAGGGCUUCUAGGUCCACUCCCUCGCUCAACUUCUGAUUUUCGAAUGAAGUUGCAUGUUGUCCAUAUACAGGACGAAGAGUAGCUCUUCUGUGUUGUCGUAGAUGACAAGUCUUUUCUUUUUUCCUUUAUUACCUUUCACCAUUCCCUCUCACACCCUUUUCAUUCCCUUCAUCGCUCUCACGCCAUUUUUCAUUUGUGCCAUCCCACUCCUACCCUUUCUCUUCCCACCAUCACCUCACUUCUCCACGUCGCCCAACGAUUCGUUGUUGCUUGCUGAAUUGUUCAUAUGUGUUGUUUCAAAUUAUGUAUAUAAACAAAUUAAAACUUGUAAUAAAAGCUACAAAAGAACUAAAUUUGUACAACAAAAAAUAGCUAAGGUUAUACAAAAAAAAAGAACUAAGUUUCUACAACAAAAAUAAACUUAGUUUAUACAACAAAAAAGUCCAAUCCUAUUUGAUGUGCCUAUCUAAACUUGAAGUCUACCCUCCAAAAUCCACGGAGGGAGACACAAAUAAACAAAUUAUGCUCAAAAUGCUACAUUAGGAGUUCAUUUUAUUUAUUUGUCUCGCAUUCUAGACUACACUACCAAAUUAAGUUGAACUAAAAUCAUUAACAUUCCAGACAUUCAAAACAUUUCUAUUCAAAAUGCAUUAUUAAAUCGGAUUUUACAUCCGAUUAUCACUAAAAUUUCUACACAAAACAAUCCAUGAAAUCAAAUUUCGAUUCUAUAUAACACGAAGCAAUCCAUUAUAUAUAUGUACUAAAAUAUCUAUAUAAAGCAAUCCUAAAUCAACAUAUAGAUGAAUCCAACAGAUAUGGAAGGAGAUGCAAUGGGAGGGGAAGGAGAGGAUUCAACCUUGCUUGUUGGCGACGGGGCGACGACAGGCGGUGACGUCGCGACGACGGGUGGCGGCUGGUCGAGGGGUAGUUAAAAUGAAAGGGCAUGUGGACUAGGUCUUUUACUAAGGUGUGAAAGUUGACUAAGGUGGGCCUUUGCUGGCGUGGGUCUAAAAUACAACGCCAUAGCUAAUAACCAUCCGAAUAAAAGAAAGACUAAUUAAGUUUAAUGAAAUACUAGUUUAAAGCGGAAAUAUAAUGUCUCACGCAUAAUAAUUUGGCACGCCAGUACUAAUUAAUUAUCUACGGUGUGCACAGAAAUGCAAUGUCACCACUAUCUUUCAGAUGGUGAGUACAGAUAGGCCAAUAGAUUUGUGGCGUGUCCAAAAAUAUCCACGUCAGCACUUACCGUUUACAACUGGCGUACCAAUUUAACCGACGACGACGCUAUUUGAAAAAAAAUAGUGUUGACGUUGUAGGAAAAUGAUGCGUUAUCAACAAGAGUUGUGGCUAGUCAUUUCUUCACCAGUGGCUCCAUGUCGGCCGCGCCCUGACACCAAGAUGAUGAAGCCGACACGUCCGCUGGCGUCGCCGGGAGCGAGGAAGAGUAUAGCAUGGGAGACCACUCGUGCUUGGGUCCCACGAAUACCACUACACCUUCCCUUUUGUAGAAGCCAAGCUUGUCGGGCUCGUCAUCGUCGACUGAUUAGCUGCUUGCUCGCUUCACGGAGGCGGAGCUUCACUUUUUAGAGCUCAUGGCUGACCAAUGAUCAUUUAUACGGAGUUAGAUUAGGGUUUAGCUCAAAUAUGUCGUAAAGCACCUGGUUUGAUGUAAAUAUUAUUCAACUUUGAAUGAAAAUCAUUUGGUUUGUCUAAAUUUGCAUCAAAUUUGUUUAUGUUUUUUAAAUUCCUUUUGAAAUGUAACUGGACAAUUGUGGUUACGGUUGGAUGAAACGCUCCCGCAUCGGUGUCUGUGGAUGUUCUCAUUGGUCCGCGAAAAGAUGUGCUGCUCAAUUUAGAGCGUUGGAGAUGCCCUGAGUGAGGCGUAGAUCAAAAGAAAGCUUAGGAGUUAAAUUCACCGAUACUUGUCUUGUUUGUUCACUUUGAUCCAUGUACUCAAGAACUUACUCAAUAUGGUCACAACACAUUCAUCUUGAUGAUUAUACGGUCACCGUUUGAAUGUAGAGCUUCGUAUUUUCUCUAUGUUGACCGGUCGACUCUCCUCCCACAUGGGUCCCAUCUAUCAAUGAAUAAAAGAUUUUAGAAAGAAAGAAAAUGAUAAAAUAUGACGCAAGUGCGAAAUCAAACUGGAGACUUCACUGCUAGGGGUUGCACGCAUAAACCACACGACUAUGCAAGAACACACACAUGCUGGCACACACGUGCACGCAGUGGCGGAGGCAGAUUAUUUUAUAUGGUAUGGCCAAGGCAAGCUGCCAUGCAUACAACAACUCUAAGUUUUAAAAUUUCUUCCAACACCAGCGUGCAUAUAGCUUGAAUUUGACAUUUUUUAGGUGUGGCAGAUGCCUAACCUUGCGAGAUUGCUGCCUCUGUCGCUGCGUGCACGCAACAUAUGACACACACUGACACACGCAGGUAUGUUGUUUUUUUCCUUUUUAGGACCGCUAGUGCACGCUCACUAUAAAGUAACACAUGAUUCGGUUUUUUGUACAGCUCACAUCAAAAUAUAUUUUAUAAUGAUUUUUUUUCUUGCCGGUGAUUCAUAUUCAUAAUGAAUAUUAAAUAAAUGUUUUAUAACCACUCACUACAAUUACUUGUGUAUUUAUUUUCAGCUUUUCUACAUUAUUUGUUUUUGAUUUUUUUUUAAACAUGAAGCCUGAGAGCCAAAAAGCCUCACUCGUUUAUUAGCAAUUUAGCAUACUAUAAACAUAUUCAUCCUAAUAAUAAUGCAAGAACGAUAGAUAAUGAAAAAAACUUUUUUUUGCAAAUCAACAUAGGGUUUUUAUUCCAUAGUGAUAGUGUUACAAUCAUCAGCGACUAAACUACGGAUACAUGGAGGUGGGCGCCCCAACCAGCAGGCUGUGCUAUCCCCACAUCUACCAAAGUUCGCUAAACAAUGUGCAACCCUAUUCUGUUCUCGAAGAAUUUUGACAGGAACAAAAGCCCUAAUGUUCAUAUACUCCCUGAUAUCCGCCACCAAAUGUCCAUAAGCUGAUCUGUUGGGGGAAGCAUCCGCAAUCAUCUUGAGUGCCUCUACACUGUCGGAUUGAAGGAUGAUUGUAGCUUGCGAAUGCUCCGUUGCUAGCUUGAGCCCUUCUUUGAUUGCUUGCAGCUCAGCCUCAAGGGCAUCAUUACAAUGGAACAGCUUACGGUAUGAAGCAAGUAUUACCGCCCCUGUACUGUCCCGCAAAAUCAUGCCCGAACCAGCCGAUCCAUCUACAGCCUGGAAUGAUCCAUCAACUGACAGUGCUACCUCAUGUUCUGCCGGGUGUGGCCAAACCAGUUUGCGCUUAGGAACAUAUCGGUGAACUGCCUGAUGCCCCAUAUCGAACACUGGAGUCUUUCCUUUCAGGAUCUCGUCAACACUUAACGAGAUAUGUUGGUACAUAUUAUAAUAGUUAGAAAGAAAAGACCGGGAAGUAUCCACCGGGGGGUGGUUUUGCCAUGCAUAAGCUCAUUCCGAAGAUGCCAUAUCCGCCAAAGUACCAUAAUGAUCCUGCUCCUGAUGUGUUCAUGUGAUUCAGCAAGCAAAUGUAGUAACCAUUCUGAUCCAGUGCAUGGAAUAUUCACCCGAUUAGGUAGUGGCCACGAGAGCUGCAUUGUAUCCCACAUUAGAGCGGCAUUAGGGCAGACCAACAACGCAUGAAAUGACGAUUCCUCCUCUCUAUCACAGAGACUACAGUGGCCGGAGUUCCCAAUGUGACGUCUGAACUUUUCUGCAUUUGUGGGUAGAGAACCUGAGAUAACCUGCCAUGCAAAAUGCCUCAUCUUAGGGGGGGCAUCAGCACUCCGCACCAGCUUCCAGAUCGGGCGAUCGCCAGUGGGUGCAUCGCUUGCAGAACCCGGAUUAACCUGGUCCCUUACCGAUGACAUAGCAAAAUGAUAGGCACUACGGACUGUAACAUUCCCAGAUUUAUCCCAAGGCCAGGAGAUAAAGUCUUCCUGUUGGUUAGAGGAGGUGCGUAUCUUCAGGAUGGUAUCGAUGUCUCAUUGGCAGAAGUGUUGGUGUAGCAGGUUUAGCUGCCAAUGCCCCCGAUCAUCAAGGAAGUUCUGGACUCUGUUAAGCCGGCAAUUCCGUUUAGGUAGAAUAGGAGUAAACGGAGGGCCCCUAGGAAUCCAAGGAUCCCUCCAAACUCUAAUGCUUGCCCCAUUGCCAACCCGCCAAAUCAUUCCAUGUUUAACUAGUUGCAACCCGUGCUCAAUGCCCUUCCAAACUGCUGAACUGUUUGCUGGGAAAACUGUGUCCAUUAGACUGCCAUUAGGAAAAUACUUUGCUCGGAGGAGUCUAGCGCAAAGCGAGUCUGGUGAUGUUAAAAGUCUCCAAGCCUGCUUUGCUAGCAAUGCCUGGUUAUAGGCGCACAUAUCUCAGAAACCAAUACCUCCUUGGGCUUUAGGAAGUGUCAUGCGCUCCCAAGCAACCCAAGCCAUCUUCUUCUUCCCAUUCUCCACUCCCACCAGUACUGUCGCAUCAUUUUAGAAGGGUCAUCACAAACAGAGAAAGGUAGCUUAAAGAUGCUCAUGACAUAGACCGGAAUAGCUUGGGCCACAACUUUUAUAAGGACCUCCUUGCUCGCAAAGGAAGAGUAUUUUUCACUCCAAUCCACCAAGCACUUACUCAAUCUGGAUUGCAAGGAUUCAAAGCGUCCUUCAUGCAUUCUCCCUUCUGGUAUUGGUAACCCCAAAUACUUUGGCUCAAAUUCCUGCUGUGUGAUACCUACGAUCAACUUAAUCUGCUCUGCAACUUCAGAUGGACAGCCUUCGGAAAAUAGGAUGGAGCACUUAGAGGGGUUAAUAAGUUGACCCGUAGCUGAGGCAUAAGUGCUCAAAACAUCCGAAACAAUCGACGCCGAAUCAGUAGUUGCAUUGAAGAAAAGCAGUGAAUCAUCCGCAAAUAACAAGUGUGAGAUAGCUGGAGCUCUUCUACAAAUUUUAAUAGCUUCUAGUCCCCUUUGUUGGACUGCCUUAUUUAACAGAGAAGAUAGGGAAUCAGCCACGAACAGGAAUAAAAAGGGUGAUAACGGGUCACCUUGCCUUAGACCACGUGAGGGUGAGAACUGCUCCAGAAGACGUCCAUUAAACUUCACUGAAUACCGCACCGACCGUACACACUCCAUGGUUUGUUUAACCCAUUGGGGAGCAAAACCCCAUCUCAAAAGUGCUUGCUCAAGAAAGUCCCAAUCAACCCGAUCAUAGGCCUUUGAUAAAUCCAGCUUGAAAGCACAAAGAUCCUUGUUCCCUGGAGAAGUCUGGAUAUGGUGGAUGCACUCAAAGGCAAUAAUGGAAUUGUCUGAGAUUAAUCGACCUGGGAUGAAAGCACUCUGAUUCUCAGAAAUAAGCUCUGAAAGAAACGGUCUGAGCCGAUUUACCAUGCAUUUUGACACUAUCUUAUAUAUCACAUUACAUAAGGAUAUAGGGCGGAAGUCUUUAAGCGAGGCCGGGUGUUGGAUCUUUGGGAUCAGAACAAUGCUCGUAUCAUUAACCCCCUCUGGCAUAUGACUAGUAAUGAAGAACGGUCGAACAGCUGCAAAGAUUUCUUCCUUCAGGAAACUCCAGUUUUUCUGAUAGAAAUGGGACGGAAAACCAUCCGGGCCUGGUGCUUUCAACGGGCCAAUUUGGAAUAGCGCAUCGGAUAUUUCUUUGUCAGAGAGGGGUGCAAGCAAACUCUCAUUCAUUGCAUCCGAUACUUUAGGUUCUAUCACCGCAAGAGCUGCCUCCGGCACUAUCGUAGGGUCCUUCGUAUAUACUUCUUUGAAAUAAGAUGCAGCCAUACGUUCCAUAUCUGAUGGGGAAUUGCACCACGACCCAUCAAACUUCUGUAGUCUCCGAAUAUUGUUUUUCCUAGCUCGCCACACCGCUUGCCGAUGGAAGAAGUUUGUGUUCCGAUCCCCCUCCUUCAGCCAGACAAUACGGCUCCGUUGCAGCCACAUCAUCUCCUCCCGAUAUAAUAGCUCGUCCAUGGUUGCCAUCUUCUGACGGAUCAGAGUACGAUCCAUGCUAUUGAGCUGCAAAGUUUCUAGUUAUGUACGCAAGCUCUCGAUUUGCUUCUGCACCUGUCCAAAGUUCUCCUUGCUCCACUUCCGAAGAUCUGUCAUGACCGUCUUCAGAGACGUGGCCACACUACCCAAAUAACCCACAGGACGUGAUCGCGACCACGCCCGCGAGAUUAUGUCCGGGAGUGUUUUAUCUCGCUCCCACAUGAUCUUGUAUUUCGGAGAUCCUUUGCGCCUGCGAUCCUCGGUGACAUCCAGGGCAAGCAAUAUGGGGCAGUGAUCGGAGCGUGGGGAAACCAGAUGUUGCACCCUCGCAUACGGAAACUCCUCCCGCCAUUCUUCCGUUGCACACGCCCGGUCUAGCCUCACCCGGACAUUACCCUGCCCAGUCUGACCAUUAUCGUAUGUGAAAGGUGCUCCCGAAAAUCCCAGGUCCAUCAGCUCACAGACGAACAAGGUGUCCCGAAAAGCUUCCAUCUAGUUCUCACCUCUGGUGGUCCUGGAGAAGUGUUCAUGUUGCCAAAGAGCCUCGUUAAAAUCUCCACAAACUACCCACGGCAGGGCCGAGAUCCCCUUUAAUCUGAUCAAAUGUUCCCACAUAUACUGGCGACGUUCAACACGUGGUUCCCCAUAUACGAAGGUGGACCUCCAACUUUUCCCAGAGCCUUGAUCUACUAUACUGGCACCAAUGUAUCUUUUGCAAGAGUAAAGAAUUGUCACUUGGAGGGAUUCAUCCCAAAAGAGUGCAAGACCACCCCCCCUUCCAUCACAGUCCACACCACAAAAACCUCUCAACCCUAGCUUCCACUUCAUUCGUUCAACUUUCGCACUUGGCUGUCUUGUUUCCGCAAGAAAGACCAAGCUUGGGGAAUGGGCUUUUACAAGAGCCCCAACUUCACGAACUGUUCGACGGUUCCCCGACCCCCAAUAGUUCCAAAAUAGGUGACUCAUUGGGACUGGCGGCGCUCCGCCUGGGAGCCCGCCGAAAGAUUUUCAGAUGUUGAUUGUUCACCAGCUAUCUUAGCUCGUUUACCACCCGAGCUGUUGCUCGGAGACGUUGCCUCCCCCGUUUCUUUACCAUCCGUGAUCAGAAGCCGUCCUCCAGCAGGGAUAGAUAAGCCCUCUACCGGGGGAGACACUACCCCUUCCUCCAUGUUUAGCCGCUUGUGAGAUGUCUUGUCGAGAUCCAUUCUAUGGUUUGGGAUGGUUUAUGCGGACUAGACGUCGUGUCCUUCAGGUCCCCGUCACCCAGUCCUCCUUCCUUCCUUGCUGUUGGUUUGGGAAUUGAUAGAUCAGCAUUUGACUUUUUCCCACUACGGUUCCCCUCCCAAUCCUGACGAACACGGCCCGGAGGUUCUGCAUACAGAUAGUCACCGAAUUUCAGAUCUUUCUCUGCAAACACCCCAUUGCCGCACUCCUUAUGCUCAUGCCCAAUGAUUCCACAGACACUACAAAAUCUUGCAAGCUUCUCAUACCUCACCGCAUACACACUUGGUUCUUUCCUUUGACAAUGCUAACAAACCUAGUAAGGGGCCUCCUGAUAUCAUGUCUCACCGUGACCCUCACGUAAUCCCCACGAGAAUUACCAUUAAUCCUGGUUUCUAGCACUUCUCCAGCAGAUCGCAGGAGCUUCACGAUUAGCUCGUGCCUGCAAUAUCCAGCUGGCAACUUAUGGAUCUGGAGCCAGAUUGGUAUAUACAAUAUCGGCACCACUUCAGCUUUUGUGAAUCCAUCAUACUGAGUUAAUAAGACCGCCAUGUUACGGAACAGCCAUGGCCCUUGGUCCAUGAUACGAUCCCAAUCACCAAGGCAAUACACCUGAACCACAAAAAGGUUGGGGCCUAUUGGCCUGAACCGAACAGCCUAGGAGCAGUUCCACGCUGCGCGCAUCUCUUUGUAAAAGGCAGCUUGGCUGAAGGUCUUCGUGGUUUGAACCCUAGCUAGGGCUAUCCAACGAAUUUCGUUUAGCAGCUCCGGGGCUUCCUCUUCGACGACAACAUCCUCGAAUUCCUCCUCCUGCAGAUCUAACUUAUCAAAGAAAUCAUCCAAGUCAUCAUCUUUCCCUUGGGAUCCACGAUUUGUGGACGAGAAAGCGUCUGACGUCGACGCCAUGACGAACGGCCGAGAACCUGCACCACGCGCAACCCUAGACCCCGCCGGCCAGGACACGGAGGCGAAGGGAGGGGAGUUUUGGGUGGAAGGGUUCGGCGAUGAUCAAUCCGUGAGACGGCAAGAUCGAUGGUAAGGUGGACUUGCGGCGGGGAAUCGCCGCAAGGAUAUAAACCCUAGCCUAUGCUAGGGGAGAGUUGGCGCCGUCGAAAAAAAAAACUUAAUAGGUGAGAGCAGAGAGUACGAGAGGUUAAACAUUCCCGAAUUAUUCUCUUGAUUAAUACUGUUCAUUGCUAUUCAUUUAAGAUAAUUAAAUGUUCGCUGCGUGCCCCUAAAAAAAGUGUGUUGUGUUCGUAUAUCUUACCUACUAAUAAAGCAAAUAUUGCUUCUGUCGUACGUCAUUUAAAUUGCCCCUAAAGUUGACUAAAAUUAUCCACCAAUGCCACCUAUAAGUCAUAAAAAACGUUUCAAACAGGAAAAUCUCCGGACUGGGCCGGCCCAUGUAGGCACCUCCUAUAUUACGCUCUGGGCGUUAGAAAAAGAUGCAGCACACCUGUUUGGGCCGGCCCAUGCGUGGGUCCCUGUUUUUUUUUGGUUUAGUUCUUUUAUUUUGCUUUUCAGUUCCAUUUUGUUUUGUACUUUAAAUAAUUUAGAACUUCAAAUAAUUUUUCUAAAUUUUAAGAAACUGAUAAUUUCGAAAGAAAAUAUUCAAAAAAACAUAAUUUUUUUAAGAAUUCAAAAACAACUCAGGAGUUUUGAAAAAUGUUUGCAUAUACAAAAAAAUGUUUAAAUUUUGAGAAAAUGUCCAUAAAAUAUAUAAUUCAAUGAUUUUAAACAAAAGUCCGUGUAAAAAUCUUGAAAACAGUUUGUGCCUCUGUUUUUAGUCUCUUUUUUUUUAAUUUUUCCGUUCCAAUUUUUUAAUUUAAAUAAUUUAGAACUUUGAAUUUUUUUUGCAAUUUAUAAAACUGAGAAUUUUGAAAUAGAAGUUUGAAGAAAACAUAAAAUGUUUGUGAAUUCAAAAAAUGCUCGGAGUUUUUGUAAAAAUAUUUGCAUAUUCAGAAAAAUGUUCAUAAUUUUGAGAAAAAUCUUGGUGAAAACAAUAAAAGUUCAUGAUUUUCAAAAAAAAACUGUGUAUUAUUUUUUGAGUGCAAUUGAAAAAAAUGUUUGCUAAUUCAAAAAAGUUCAUGCAUUUCAAAAAAUGUCUUAAAAUUUAAAGACAUAACAUGAUCAGCAUCAUUGAAGAUUUAAUUGUUUUUCUCCCGUUGCAACGCGCGAGCUCUUUUGCUAGUUGAAAUAAAAGAGAUUGCUCAGUAGAAAAGAAAAAAAGCAUGUCGUGCGCAGCCGGUUAGCGCGAGUGAAUCUGGCGGUGCAGUCUCUGGUUCAAAUCCCCACUUUCCCAGGAAUUUAUCCUUCUCUUUAUUCUUUUCUCUAUUCACUGACAAGUGGACCCAGAUGGGGUGGGGAGUUAAUUUUUUUUUUUGCAUCGAAUGGGGGUGGGGAGUUGACCGGUCAACAUAGAGAAAAUACGAAGCUGUACGUUUAGAUGAUGACCGUAUAAUCAUCAAGAUGGAUAUAUAGUGAUCAUACUGACUAAGUUCUUGAGUACAUGAACCAAAGUGAAUCAGCGAGACAAGUAGAGUGACCACGUGUAAAUUUUACUCAAAGCUUAAAAUAGGAGAAACAUAAAGAGGCAUUUUGGCUCUCGGUGCACAUGCUCCUGCAUAAACAGUAAUAAAAAAUAGUAAAUAUUUAAAAAUAGUAAUAUUUUUUAUAGAUGUUUAUGUUAUUGUCGCAAGUAUGCUUCACAAUUUUCAUGGGAAACGGAGCAGUGCGAGAAAAAAAUUAAGGGUGAAUUUAGGUGUAACAUUUGGUGUUUGAUUUUCUUUUGCACCGACCAAAAUGUGCCUAACCUUUUUACCUAAAAAUUUAUAGAUAGCAUCUGGAUGGACUAUGAACAUAUAUAAUUUUUGUUCGGACUUUUUGACAUUUCAAAAAUCAUUUCCAUGCACAGAAACACGUGCAUCCAGGAGCCAAAUUGGAUUUCCGAGAAAUUAACCUGUUUAAUCCUUACCAUUUCACAAAGAUUUACCAUUCUAGAAUUUUUGCCGGGUGGCCGGUGACGUACUUGCCAAUCAAUCGAUCAGUGCCACUCGAGUGCCCGAUCACAAGCAUUGGCAAGAUUGGCAAGUAAUCACUUGUUAUCUUUUAUCACGAAUUAAUAGCAGAAUCUUCAGUUUCACGCACAAGAUGAUCUCCCCCUCAUCCCCAGCUUUCCAAUACGUAGAACCUACCCUUAAUUCCAUGCUUGAUGCAGAAGGUAAUUAAUUGCACAUAAUUACUGCAGCAAGCUGGUAAUUAAUAUUCGUCAAUAAUCAGCACUUCAUAUCAUAUCCUGGUUUGCCAAUUCGUCUCACCAUUAACUUCGGCAAAAUCCCCUAUUAUAUGUAUCCACGCAUAGCAAUUAGCAGCAGAAGCAGCAGCAGCCAAUCCUUGCAUUGGGAGUUGAGCUCCACAGUGAUAGGUCACAAUGCCUGCGACGACGACGGCGAUAUCUCGUGUCCUUCUGCUCGUCGGCGUCGUCCUGACGGCCCAGCUGUGCGGUUGCACGGCGUACGGCGGCGAUGGGUUUAGCGUGGAGUUCAUCCACCGCGACUCCGUCGGGUCGCCGUUCCACGACCCCUCGCUCACCGCGCACGACCGCGUGCUGAAGGCGCUCGGGCGCUCCUACGCCCGCGCCGACGCACCGUCGGCCCACGGCGUCGUGUCCGAGCUCACCUCCACGCCGUUCGAGUACCUGAUGGCCGUGAACGUGGGCACGCCGCCCACCCGUCUGCUCGCCAUCGCCGACACCGGCAGCGACCUCGUCUGGCUCAACUGCAGCAAGAAGGGAGCCCACGGUCCUGGCCCGGUGUUCGCCGGCGACACGCCCACUCCCCCGCCGCCGCCGCCGCGCGUCGUGUUCGACCCCUCCAAGUCCAAGACGUACCGCCUCGUGGGCUGCGACUCCGUUGCGUGCCGAGAGCUCCCGGACUCCUCCUGCGCCGCCGGCGACAAGUGCACCUACUACUACUACUACGGCGACGGCUCCGCGACGAGCGGCCUCCUCUCCACCGAGACCUUCACCUUCGCCGACAACGCCCGCGGCAAGCGGACGACGCGCGUGCCCAACGUCAACUUCGGCUGCGGCACGACCUUCGUCGGCUCCUUCAUCGGGGACGGCCUCGUCGGCCUCGGCAACAGCAACCUGUCCCUCGUCACGCAGCUCGGCGCGCACGCCUCGGUCGGCCGGAGGUUCUCCUACUGCCUCGUGCCCUACUCCAUCAACGCC